CUGAGUAGCAGACCUUUUCUACCUUGUGAAGGAAUCUAGCAUAAGACACAUUAAUACAUGCAGUGUUGAAGGUUCUCAUUAUUUGAUAUAUGAUAUAGUCACACUAUUAAGAGUUCCAAUGAAUUACAUAAAUCAUCACCUUGAUUAUGUCAUAAUUUGACUGAUUUGAGGACAUGGGAGUGCUUCUCUAUUCUCAAGCCAUUAUUAUUAUGAAUCUAGAGUCCUUUUUUGGCAUGGUAGUUUUGGUGAGCCUGCUACAUAUUCAGUCCAAAAAUCUCUGAUAGCUGUAAUUGAAAGCAUUAUUGAGAGAAAAGAUCAUUUUAGUUCAAGCAAAUACCGAAUACUUUUUUACUACGUGGAAAUUCUCUCCCUCAGUAAUUUUGUUACAGUCAGUGUAAAGGCCACAUCUUAUAAUAUGGAUAAGAAAAGUUACUCUGGACAAUGCCUCGUUGAGAUAACUAUUUUCUUCAGAAUGUCCUGUUGUUGAGGAUUACCUCAGGAGCUUGACACCCAGCUGCAGAACACAGAGAGAUUUUCCUUACACUUUAAGCCUUUCUGUUGCCUUCCUCAUGACUAAAACUGAGUAGUGAAAAUAAUAGUGUAUGGAGAAAACACAAAAAAAAUGAAAAUUAAAAAAUUGUAUAUAACCACACAUCCUGGUUCUUUACCAUGUUAUAAUGGGAGGAAUUGUUAGCUAUUAAUUAAAAGCCAAUAAAAAGUUUAAAUAUCUAAUUUACUUGACUACAUUUUUAGUGUAGUGUUUAUUUUGUCUUUUGUUUCUUGAGCAUCUGUUUAUCAUUGACAGUAUUGUUGGGCUACCCACCAGGAGUACUGAGCUACCAUCCAAGCAAAACCCAUUCAGUUACCUGAUGUAUCGUAGAACAUAUUUUUUAGUCCAGCAUCAUAUUUAUAUAUCAAAAACUCCUGCUGAAAGAUGUUUACUAAUAGGAAAUUUAACUUCUCAACUAUUAGCCUGAGACUUAGAUGAUAGAGAGUCCAAUAAUUUGCUGAUUGCUGUAUAUAUUUAUCUGGUUGUUGAAAAGGAGCUUAAGCUAGAAGAUGUUGGGUAAAUUUCCAUGGCUCAGCCUAAAUCUCACAAUUUGCUUUUCAAAUAUUCUGUAUGUCUAUGUCCUUUCAAUCGAGGUCAUGUGACAAAUUGUUUCUGUGAUAGAAGAUAAACUUUCUGAGGGAGAGGCAAGUUGACCCCAUAAUCUCAACUAGUCAGAGAAAUCAUUUAAAGAGGAAGCAAUUUGGAAACUAAAAAUUAGUUCACUCUCUAUUCCAAAAUUAAUAUCCCAUGCUAAUGUGAAAAAUUGAACUAUGGAGUCCAUUUUACUAAGAAUACUGCAUACAUGUUUUCUAAUAAAAUUACACUUUUCUACAUAUACAUACAUUUAUAAUGUACAUAUAAAUUUUAACAAUUUUGACAAUUUGGUAUUCCAGUGAUUUCCCUCUUGACUUCCUGUGCCCAAACUACUUUCUUUUAAAUAUCUCACCUGCUUUAUUUUUUUAUUUUCGUCAAAAUAGGUCUUUAAAAAAUUAGCAUUACCACACAGUGUAUUGUUAAUAUAAUGUAAUUUUUGUUUAACUUAGGAAUUAUUUGAAAUUGGUUCCAGAUGUGAAAGCCAUGGAGAUUGCAUGUAAAUAAUAUUGUGUUUUGAAGCCAGUUAUACUGUGUUAAGUGGAUAAAAACAUGUUACUGAAUAUUGAUUUAUCCCCAUACUUAUGUUCUGAGUGGACUUUGGACUGUUUAAGUAAAAAUAUUACUAUAAAGUGCUUUGAAGUGUUUUAUUCUGAGAAUAGCCCUAUCUAUGUGAGAGGGAAUGAGGAUAGUUAACUUACACUCAUAGCUGCUUUUUUGUCUUGCUCUAUUGUCCAGGCUAGAGUGCAGUGGCGUGAUCUUGGCUCACUGCAACCUCUGCCUCCUGCGUUCAAGCAAUUCUCCUGUCUCAACUUCCCGAGUAGCUGGGAUUACAGGCAUGCGCUACCAUGCCCAGCUAAUUUUUGUAUUUUUGUAGAGAUGGGUUUCACCAUGUUGCCCAGGCUGGUCUUGAACUCCUGACCUCAAGUGAUCUGCCCGCCUCGGCCUACCAAAGUGCUUGAAUUACAGCUGUGAGCUACCGUGCCUGGCCCAUAGCUGCUUUCUAACUUAUAAAUGUCUUGAUAUUUUGGAAUUAUACUGUCUUUUUAUCUGAUUCUUUUUUCUGAGAAACAUUUAAUUUGUGUAUUCUUUGUGGCAUAAAAUGCUUUCAGGCUCAAUCACUUGUAGUUUUACUCCCAACAGUAUUAAGUUUAUUUGUUUUUAAAACUAUCUUUCACAUGUAGUGAAUUUUUAUCACAUGUUUAUUAUAGCUAAUUAAUGUCCUCAUAAGGUAUGUCUGCAAGAUUUUUGGGGAGGGAAGUACUUAUAGACUAGAUUUUCAGGUAGACUGCAAAUUUGAGAGAAACCAUGGUUACUAUUUCAUCAGGAAUGUCUACUAAUCUUGCUCUGUUAUUAGAAAAGAAAGAGAAUAUAUUAUGGAUAAUAACAUAAUCUAACAUGAUUACCUAGUUGUUUGUAUGAUACAGACUGACAUUACUAGAUUUGUUUGUAAAAGGAUCAUCCCAUCUCUGGAAGCUAAGGAAGGACUAGAAGCAGAGAGAUCAUGAAAACAUGCAUAUAGAUAGAUAGAUAGAUAGAUAGAUAGAUAGAUAGAUAGAUAGAUGUCUUCUCUACAGCAUCUUUCUCAUUUCAAAUCAGAAACAGGAAAUCCAUAAAUUCCUGGAAAAUAUUAUCAUUCAUAAUAAUCAGGAAGGUUACUUUUAUAAGGGGAUUUUAAAGAUAUGUUAUAAGUGAAUAACUUUAUUGUUUGAAUUACUUUUCUUAUUCAAAUAUGUGAAUUGUCCAAUAUUAAUACACAUGAAAAAAAUGGUAUAAUACAUUAUAUUAGAGGGGAAAAUCAUGAGAGAUUGGAGAUAAAUUCAAGAGCUACUGUGUAUUUGAUGAGAUGUUUAAUUAUUUCACAAAUUUUAGUGAGGGCCCAAGUUGUACACAUCGCCACACGCAGGACUGCAGAAGAUAAAACAUUGAGAAGACAACAUUCCUGCUCUUAAGGAAUUGACAGGCUAGUGUUAUAACCAUAAUAAAAAUAUAAUAAAUGAUACAAUAAAAAUAUAACAUACUUCAGUAAUCCAAAGAAGAGAGGGAUAAUAUCUGACCAAAAAUAAUUUUUCCCAAACACUAUUAAUUUUUCUAAACAGAGUUGGUUUAAUGCUUCCGUUGAACAAAGCCAUGGCCUUAUCCAUAAUUCCUUACUUGUGAAAUAAUGCAUAAAACAAUGUCUAGCCAGUAGUCACCAUAAGGAUGGUUUGCCUUCCCUCUUUCCUUUCUACUCAGAUAUAGGAAAUCUAUAUGGACAGAUGGAGGUAUUAAAAUGAAAGAUAUAGUUCAUAUUCUAAUAUAUAUCAUCAAAGUUGUUUGUGUUUUUUUAAACCUCUGGGGUUCAUGGGAAUAUAGAAAUGUUAUUCUAAAUUUCUAUGGAAAUGGAGAGACAGAGACAGACUGACUUAUAAGGUAAUCAACACCUAUACAUUCUGCUAAUGGUCUAUUAUGCUAGGAGUUCCCAGCAUAAGAGUCAUGAAAGUUGAACAAAUAUGAAAUAGCCUUGCCCAGUACCUUUUGGGUUUCACCUCAGGAGCAGGUUGUACAGUUAGUCAUACAUCCCAAUUCAAGGCACAUUUCCUUAUAGGUGGUAUCAUCAGUAGCAGUGUAAUUAACUUUACUAAUAGAGUUGGGUUGUUUUCACCUUAAAAUUGUGUCAUCUGACUGACUAGUUGGUGAAAGACAUUUGGUAACCAGUGUUAAUGACACUGUAUUUAUUUAUUCAUAGUACUUUACCACAUGCUGAGUCUGUUAACUGUAUCAUUAAGUACUCUUUUUAUUGGCUUUGUUUGUUUUUAUUGAAUUUUGCAUAACUACAAUAAAUCUUCAGGUAGAAAUGAUUUGAAUAACAGCAUCAGUCUCAUGAAAUGUUCUUUCCCCUCAAGUCCUAGGUUUUUUAUUUGAUAUCAGGAAGUAGAAAUGGCUUUAAAAGUAAAAUGGUAUAUUUAUAAUGUCUUAAAUGAUGAUAACACCAGGAGUAUAUGAUGAAGAAAAUGACCUAGAUAGAAUUUUAAAGAUAUAGAUCUAGGCAUCAAACUCUAAGGGAUGUGUUAGUCACAAAGACAGGUUCAAGAGAUCUAGCCUGUGAGUUUGAGACUUUUCUUUGAUGGUGCUAUUGGGGUCACUAUGAGGUAUAGACUUGCUCUUGAUUUUCUUUCUCUUUACCUAGAGAAUUUACUUCUGUCUUCAAUUCUCACACCCUAUUCAUAUCUUUUGUUGAAUUGUGAUUUCCUUUCUUUGUUUUGAAAUAUGAAAGAAAUCUCUAAAUCAGGUUCUGACAGAUGGGUAUGGAUAACCAUACCCAUCCUAGGUAUUAUUAGCAUUUUGGGGGAGUGUUGGUCAUUCUGUGCAAUUUCUUGAUUGAAAAAAAUGAUAUAUGGAUGAAUCUCAUUAUUUUCAUCAUUUAAUUUGACUCAUUACUACAUGGAAUCAUCAGCUUAGGAUCUCACUUUCUGGUCUUCAUUGUCUUCCUGCAAGAUAUGGCCUUAUCAUGGCUAAUAAUUGCUGGAGGAUAACUCUUCAAUCUUCUUUCCUCUCCACCAACCUGAAUGUAAACUGCAGAGGGGAAAAAAAGCAUGUUCAAAGGAAAAAGCAAAUGAGUGAAUUCUAAUCCCAAGUCUUCUUAUUUAUAGUAAACUUUGUGAACUCAGUAAAAAAUGAACUUCAAAGGGCAGAAAUUCAUGCCUUUUAUGUCACCCUAAGCAAGAUCUGUGCAAAUUCAGCUGUCACUACAUAUGAUAUGGCCUAGAAAUCAUUGAGUGAUGUUCAUUUUAAUUGUCUCAGCCAAAUCAUCUCAGUGAAGUUGAGUUUAAAGAACUCAUCUUUCAUUCUUUGGCUAUGUUAUUAUUUCCCACUUCUACAUAGUCCCUCACCACAACAAAAUAAUAAUAAGCAAUCAUAAAACAGUUUAUUAUUACCUGUUAAUUAAAUUAUUUUAAGCAGUUGCUAUAUUCUGUCCUGUUAUUCAACCUACCCAAAAUUUACUAAAAACCAUAUUUUUGUUACAUAUGAACCUAUAAUACCUUUUGCUAAUACAAGGAAUAUACACACACAUAUGCAUAUAUAUAUGUACACACUCUCCUUUUAAGAGGAAUUAAUUUUAAAAAUUUAGAUACCACCUUAAAAAUUAUAUUAGUGAAGAAUAUUAAAGCAGAGUCAUUGUUCCAGAGUCCUCUUUCCUGCUUCUCCAUCUCUCUCCUCCAGCUAAUUUUGCAUUUCAUGCAUGUGUGUGCAUUGUGCAUGUUUGGAUGUUGUGCUUUUAUUUGGGGUGGGGGGCAGAUACUGAUUUAGAGUUUUCUUUCUACAACAGCCAAAUCCUUUCUGUUUAGGUGGAUAAAAUGUGACAUGGGUGAACUAGCUAUCCUUAAGCUUGAUUUCUUUGGAGGGCCCUUGCUGGAAGUCCCAUAUUCUGUAAAGACUGCAUAGAGCUUACGUACCCAAAUUAUUUUUUUAAAUUAUGUAUAUAUUAAAAUAAUACAUCAAAUGUUGCAACUAGAAUUUAGAAAAAAACUCAUUAUUUUAGAAUGUUUACAAAACUAUUGUCAUUUUUGUCAAUGCACUAUUAUUUUUCUCUGUUCCUGGGAGUAUUUUAGUUGUAAAGUACAAAGUAUAUACAGUUCUAUAUUCCGCUUAUUGUAAUUGCCAUCAUGCCAACCCAUUUCCUUUGUUUCUACAGAACAUUAUCACCAUCACUUUAAAUGACUGCUUAAUAUUCUGUUGGAUAUAUAUAUAUAUCUGAAUGUAUGUAACCAUUCUUAUGUUACUGAAAGUUUGGACUAACUCCCGCUAUUGGCCAUUGUAAAAGCCGCGGUGAAGAUCAUGAAUGUACCUUUUUUCCACAUAACUGAAAAGUUCUUGACAAAUACUAUUCAACUACUUUUUGAAAGUAUUAUAUCAAUGCGCUUUACUGACACCAUCAAGGCCAAUCAUAUGGUUUUAGUGCAAGUAAGUGCUUUAUAAUUAAUCAAGUCCAACUCCUUUAUUAAUCAUCAUUCUGGGCAUUUAGUCUCAAUAGGGAAGUGAUUUGAUCAAUAUCAAACAGCUAUUGUAGGAGAAAAACCAAGACUAUCAUUUGUAUUGCAUUUUUAAGCUUUUCUUUUACAUGAGUAUCUCCUGUAUUCUAGACUCUGUCUAAAUUACUGGAUAUUCUAAGAUAAAAACUCUGUUCUCUAGCUACUCAAAGUCUAGAGAAUUAUGAUUACAGUAGCUCACAAGUACUGAGUAAUUGCUGUGUGUCAGGCACUAGUGUAAACUCAUAAAUGCAAACUGAGGCUGCCUGAAUGCAUUUCUGUGUUGAGCUGCCCAGAAUGGUUAGAAGGUAGACAUGCAGGUUAAUAAUUAAACCAAUAAGCUGUAUAAUAGAUGUGCACAAAACAUCUCUAAAAUAUGAGUAUAAUUUCAUCAAGCAGUCAAUCAGUAAAAUAGGUGGUUAUCUUAAGGUUUGAGAGCCAGUAAAGUCUAGGUUCAAAUCUUGCUGUAAUCCUUACUGAUGUGCAAGUAAUUUAAUGUAAUGUUUCACUUCUUCAUCUAUAAAAUAAAAAUCAAUAACUGAACCUGCCCAAUUUGAUACUUUUGAGCUAUUUGGGCAUGUACUAAAGCUAACAAUCAAUUUAUUAAAUUUGCAGGAAUUUUGCCAGCUGGUUGUGAAAUGAUUAUUUUGAAAUAAAUUUAUAUAUAUUUACAAGUAUAUUUUAAACAAAGGAACAUGCACUUAAACCUCCUAGUUAUUUUAAUAUAUUAUACCAUUAUUUCUAUUCUUGAGGUUAUUUAUGUUUAUUUUAUCUGUAUGUUGGAAACACUAUAUAAUGAUCCUCUGAUGCUCACUUAUUCCUAAUUUUUACGCUAGUGGCAACGUUAGAGCACUGAAAUUUUAAGUGCUACAAAUGAGGGUUUCUUUUCCCUCCCCACUCCUUCUUCUUUCUGGAUAGCCACAAACAUGUUUACAAUAUUAAACAUUUUUCCUUCACAUCAAUGGAGAUGACUCCUGCAGAGUGCUUACUUAGCACAAUGUAUGAGACAUAAGAAGACCAUAGUAAAUAUUAGCCAUUGCUACAUUAAAAGUCAUUUCAUUAAAGAUAUUUUUCCUCUAAUAUUUUAAAAACUACAAACAUGCAGAAAUCUGAAGGAAUUAUACAGUGAACACUCAUAUGUCCACCACUAUAAUUUACCUUUGCUGUAUUUGCUAUACUAAAUGUUGAUCUACCUUUACAUCUUUUUAUUCAUCCAUCAGUUCAUCUUAAUUCUUAAUUAAUACAUUAAAAUAUUUUAUGUAAGGGAAUACAUUUUUUAAAGAAUGAAUUAUUUGAAUUUUUAUUAGAAUGCUUAGAAUAAUUUGUGUUUUCUAAAGAUUUCUCUAAUGAUAGUUUAAGAAAAGGACUGAAAGGAGAUUUCAGAAAGAUUAGAAGGCUGCUACUUCAGUCUAAGCAAAAAUUGAUCAGUACUUGAACCGAAGCAGAGGAGAUAAGAAUUCCAAUGAGGAGACAGGUGUUGAAAGAGAUUUGAUAGGUAGAAUCAGUAGAACUUGGUGACACAUUGGAAGUGAAUUCUGGCUUGGAACAUUAAGGUAUAGGGACAGGUUUUAACUUGAAGGGCUCAAACAUUGGGGAAAGUUUUAGAAGGCAAAUCUCUGUGCUUAUUUUUAGAAAUGAGGCAUUGGGUCAGGCAGUUAUUUUCCUGGGUUUAUGGUUCAUAGAGAGGGCAGACAGCAGGAUAUACAGAUUUAAGUGUCAUCACCAUUUAAUUCCUCUUGCGAGAUUCAUGAGUAUACUAUAAUUUCCUUGAAUUGGAAAUUGAAGUAAGUUUCUUUCAACCACAUUUUUAGAAAUUAUGCUCUUGUAGGAAAAAUUUCACUGUAUAUGUUAGUAUCUUAUUGCAUGAACUAUUCUGAUUACUCAAGCCUCCCUGCUCAAGGGCAGAAACUGGUAAUUAUUUUACAUAGAGAUAACUUAAAAAUAUGUAGCAGAUUGUUUUGUGUUCACAAGUAUUUAAAUUUGUUCAAUAUGUGAUUUAUGAACUGUGAUCAGUUUGUUGAAUUGUGAUUUCUGUAGCUGCAUUUUAAUUGUUCCCCAGAAUGGGUAGCUCAGAGCAUUAUGCUAAGGGCAGAAUCAAAUGUAGUUUACUGUUGGUUUUUAUCAUCCAAUCCCAGGCAUACUUGCAAGUAAGCUAAUGUGUGUUGAGCAUAUUUCUAUAUUCGUCCCUUUAUUGCUCUCUUACUUCUCAUUGUCCCUCACCCUAGUGGUUCCUGGUGCUCAUAUGCUGUAUAUGCACCCUUCAGAUGCCUCCACAGGAUGACAGGAGAAGGACCUGAGCAUAUGGCCCCAUGAUUAGCAGUGCUGGUGUGCCCAUUCUUUGGAAUAUAUUGAUAUACCUAUAGUUCGUGUGUGUGAGAGAAUAUAUAUGUAUAUAUGCUAGAUAUAGAAUAUAUGUCAUAUACACACGUAUGUACACACAUAUGUACAUGUUACACACUUAUAUGUACGUGUGUAUAUGUAUGUGCAUAUCAUAUACAUACAUAUAUAUCUAGUAUAUAUACAUUGAUAUGCAUAUAUCUAUAGUGGGUGUGUAUAUAUAUACACAUUAUAUAUAUACACACACACUAUAUAUAUAUAUCUACAUAUCAGUAUUACUUUGAUAUCUUACUACAACAUCCAAUUAGAACAACUUAUUUUUAAAAUUUUUUAUCAAGUUCUACACUUGAGUGCUUUGGUAAUGAGCGAAAAUAAUUACCCUGAUUUUUUAAACCCUUGAGUCAGAAGCCUCUGUAGGACAAACUUAAAUAUUUAGACUUUCCAAGGAUUUUCAGUAGCACAGGGGAGAUAAAGCACCUAUCUCUCUUUCAGUGAAGAGAAGAAAAUAAAUGUUUCUACCCUUUCAGAUUUUACUGGAAUGUUAUUAUAAACUAAAAAGUAGGUCAGCAAGACUGAGUUGUUUUAUUAAGAACAGCAGUACAAAUAUCAUCUGAAGAAGAUGACUGUACAAUUGCCUAUUAUUAAAACAAAGGUAGGGAAAAUUGUUAGUGAUUCAUUCCCUAAGCUGUUCCAGUCCUUAAGUAUGAUGCUAAUUAUCCUGGGUAUUAAUUUGAUUUCUACUUUUUUAGCUGAUCUCCUUUAUCUCAGUGAUAACAUUUUUAUAAUUAUAAUUUUGUAAAUAACCAGUAAGCCCAUUUUUAAAGCUCUGCUUAGUCAAAUCAGUUAUUAGUUGUGUAGUGAAAAGAUUUUCAAAACAUUCUCCAGAGUUGGUUGAUCAAUCCCUUAUUUUUUAAGAAGACGAGUUAGAAGUGCCUCAAUUAUGAAAUUGGCUCUAAGAGAGUCAAAUUUGGAAAUCUAAGCUUUUAGAAACAUAUUUUUGACUGAAACAUGUAUACAUAUACUUGUAAUAAUAAAGUUAAAAUGGGGUAAAUGUUACCUUUAUCUUAAAUUUAACAUCAAGAAUUGAUCUAAUGAAGAAAUUCAUCCAGAAUUUAAAAUAUUCUUCUAUAAAACAAUAGGGCAUACUUACAGCCCUUUAAUAUACAAAUCAUCAGAAGUCUCUAAAUAAUAGAGAAAUCAAUGUCUACUUCAUGCAGCACAACAGCAAAACAGAGCUGCUCCCUUAUUACAAACAGUACAUAAUAGUUUAAUUUUCAUGGGACUAGUAACGCAUUUGUUAUAUCGUGGUUUUUAGUGAGGAAUAUUGUAUAUGUCUUCAGUUAAAAAUAUAUUCUCAGCUUGGACAGGUGGUACUUAAAGAGUCUGGAGUGAGAAAUGGUUUGGCAGGAUAACAAGGCAUAUUACAAGUGCCUGCCUUGAAAGGUAAGAAAGAGAGUUAGACAUUUUCCAUUACUACCUACUGUUAAGGUGCUCGCAUUAUCCCCUAAACAACCUCAUGCUUGUGGCAAUAAUCAUGCACUGUCGGUUUUUUGUACUAAUAUGAAAGUGCGGUUCAAUCUUUUUGACAAAUACUGCAUCAUUUCUGGCUUGGUGAAUUUUUGUCACUCAAACCUAGUUGAUGUGUAAGUAGGUUGUGACAUGCUGGCUGAAAUGACUUUGGAUCCACUGUAUUGAAGAAAGUAAAAUUUUACUUGAAGUGUUUCUUCUUUCCAUUUCUCACUCUUCUCUCUACUCCACCUAGACCUCACUCCUUCCCUGAGUUUAGAUUCAUCCUACUUCCUUUGUAAGGUACAUCAUUAUACAUUAUAUGGGAGAAUUAUCUUAUAGUGAAACUGAAGGAAGCUUUUCAUGGAAAUGUGUAAUUCGUUUAUUAUUUUCUAAACUGUGUAUUUGCACGUGUAUCCAUAUGCAUCACUGCACAAUCUAAGUGUUAACAGUUUUUUUUUUUUUGCUUUCUUACUAGGGCUUAUGUCUAAAAAUGCUAGUUUGCAAUAUCUAUAACACUAGCAUUUUAAAGUCAUUCAUAAUCUGUCAAUUGAUAUGAAAUAUAAACAUUCUGCCUUUUUACUUUCAUUAUUUUAGUGAUAAAUUUUGUACUGCUUAAAUGUUCUCUGCAAGUCUGUGUGGUUUGGAAGGAAUUGUCGUUUUAAUUUCUUCUUCUUUAGUGACAACAUGUGCAUCUAUUAUGGAAAAAAAUGAAAGGUAACAACAGUUGUUAAUUUAAGAGAUGACCAUGAAUUCUCAGUGCUAGCUCCCAAGGUGGCACUCCUAAGAAAGAGGUCAUUUCUCAAGUAAAUAAUAUGCCAGGUAAGAUCUGUUUGCAUUUUAAAUAAAGUGAUUGAUUUAGGAAAUAUUACCUUUAGAAAGUGCAAGUUCAAAUGAAUAGUUUUCUUUAACCCCCCAAAUAAGAUUAUAAAGGAAUUACCCAUGUCAUGAGUUUUUUGUUGUUCUUGUUGUUUUAAUCAUUGUCUCCUAGUAAAGUAGGCUUUGCUGAGUAAAAACAUAGAAAUAGACUUAUCUAUUGAUGGAUAAGUAUAAUGGAUAGGUAUAAAUUAAGCGUAGAUGUAGAGACAAAGAUGUAGCUAUCUUCCCUGUCACUUAUUUGUGGCCUGCAGGGGAGUUUUAACUCAUCCCCAACACUCGGGCUCCCACAGGCAGUAUUCAGGAUCUGCCUUGGUCUGUUUUGUGGUGUUUGUUUCAUGAAGUUUCUUAUUAGGCUUUGUGUUAUUCAAAAUUAAAAUUUUACAUACGAUAGUCCAACUAAUAAUUUAGGAAAUCAUAUUGCCAUUAUUAAAACUUGCUCACAGUCUAAUUUAAAUAAAAUCUGAGUAAAAACAAAAGGAAGAUGCCUACUAUAAUUUGAAGAUAUUCAUUCACUAACGUUUCAACAUUUAUUUUGUCACCAUUAAUUUAUUUUGUUUUUCAAAUAAAAAGUAAACUGUAUUAUCCCAUAUAGUUCUGGAAAGUGCCUGGUGUUUAUCAUAAAAUUAUAUAUAUUAUUUGUCUCCAUUGUAAUAGUGGCCUUAAAAUAAUACACACACACACACACACACACACACACACACACACAUUAAAAAAAUAACAUAUUUAAGUGGGAAUUGGAAAGAAAUGCUUAACAAUAACAAGAUGGUUUUAUAAAUUAUGUUAUGUCUAUGUAUUAAGCAUUUUUUAGCCAUUAAAGUUAUUUGUGUAACGUCUUAAUCCAAUAAUGAACAUAAUACAAUGUUAAAUGAGAGAAUCAAGGUAUGAUGAAAUAACAAUAAAAAAUACCCUAUGUGAUACUUGUGGAGAUCAGGAAAUAAUUGUAUGGGUAAUUUUCUCAUCUAUUAACUUUAUUUCAAGUCAUUUCAUUGGUAAAAAUAAAUACUUUUAAAAGAGAAAAUUUACCAGAAAGAAAAUAAAGAGAUUGAUCUAUAGCAAUAAGCAUGAAUUUAACUAACACAUGGCUUACUUAAGCUUCUUUGUUUUUUUUCUUUUAAAAAUAGGUUUUUCUAACUUAGGCUUGGGUCUGUUUAUUUUUUAUUGUAUAUGUUAAAAUAUACAAUGUGUUUUGACAUACAUGUAGAUGCUGAAAUAAUUACUAUAGUUAAACAAAUUUACAUAUAGCUCACCUUCCAUAGUUAUCCUUUUGUAGGGUGUCAGAGCACCUGAAAUCUACUCUUUUUGCAGUGCUUUCAGUUUACAAUAGGAUAUUAUUAACUAUAGUCUUCAUGCUGUACAUUUUUGUCUGUCUACUUAAUGUUCCUAACCUGACUGCAAAUGUAUAGCCUGUAACCGAUUCUCCAGAUAUUCUCCCCCUCCCUGCUCUCUGUUUCUCAUUUGACUUCAAGAAAAAAAGAUUCCACAUUUAAGUGAGGUCACAGUAUUUUCUGCCUGUGUCUGGCUUAUUUCACUUAGCAUAGUGUCCUCCAGGUUUACCCACGAUGUCACAAAUGUCAGGAUUGCCUUUUUUAGGGAAGAAUUAUGUAGAUAUAUGUCACAAUUUCUUUAUCCAUUUAUCCACUGAUGGGCAUUUAGCUUGUUUUCAUAUCUUGGCUAUUGUGAAUAAUGCUGUAGUGCAGCGGUCCCCAACCUUAUUGGCACCAGGGACCAGUUUCAUGGAAGACAGUAUUUCCAUGGACUGAGGAGGUGGCAGGGGAUGGUUUCAGGGUGCAACGCUGCUACCUCAGAUCAUCAGGCAUUAGUUAGAUUCUCAUAAGGAGCACACAACCUAUUUAAAACAUUAUGCACAGUUCACAAUAGGGUUUACGCUCCCAUGAGAAUCUAAUGCCGCCACUUAUAUGGCAGGAGGUGGUGCUCGGGUGGUGAUUCUCCCUUGCCUUCCGCUCACCUCCUGCUGUGCAACCCAGUUUCUAACAGGCUGUGGACCAGUACCAGUGUGUCACUAGGGGUUUGGGGACCUCUGCUGUAGUGAACAUGGGAGUACAGAUAUCUCCACAAGGUGCCAAUUGCUGAGUCAUAUGAUAGUUAUCCUUUUCAUUUUUUGUAGCACCUCAAUGCUGUUUUUAUAAUGGUUGUUCAACUUUCAUUUCCACCUGCAAAAGAGAACAAGGGUUCCUUUUCUCUACCACCUCACCAACACUUAGGGCUGUUUAUAUUUUGAGCAAAGUCCUUUUUCACUUUCAUUUCAAUCAAAAUGCAAGAAAGAAUUAAAUUGAGCUGCCGCUUAUUUGGGAGAUGUCACAAGAUUUACUUCCUAAGAGUUUGUGAGAAGAACACAUUUUCUGGCAUUUGCUGUUGAUCCAGAAGCAUUUUCAUUGCAGUGACUUUGUUUGGAGAUUUUAACUUCUAAGUACUACUCUUAUUUUGCUCUGCUUUUAGGAUAAUGUUUUAAAUAAGAUUUUUAAAGUUUCUCAAAACUGAAAACAUUUUACCUCAGAGUAGAACUCAGUUAAAUUUUUAUUUAAAAGUAGGUUUUUGGUAACAGUAAAUGUUUUGACAAGUUUUUACUUAAUGGUUAAUAAAAUGCUACUAGGUCAGGUGCAGGAAGUAAAAUUAGUCCUAAAUUGAAUUUGAGGAAGGCAUGUAAGUAGAAGUAAUAUUAAGAAGGUGAAUCAUCAGUUGUAUGAUAGAACUGUUACUAAUAAAUACAACAUGUGGUAAUUGCAAGAAUUAAGUUCAUGAAAUGUCUAUUCAACUUUACAAUCUUGCCCUACUAGAGUAUUUAGUCAUAGGGAACCUUACUGUGGUUGGACUCUGCCUGGCAAUGCAGUUUAACUUAAAAUUAUCUAGGAAUUAUUUUUAUAGGAAAUUUUGCUAAAAUCCACCUAGUUAUAUGAAGUAUAUUACUCUUGAGUAGCAACCAAGUAACUCAAACUGUAAUUUAACCCUGUUAAUGGAGGGAAGUAAUAUGGAAAUACUAAAAUUGACAUUUUACAAAGUUGAUCCCAGUAUAUCUCAGAUGAAAAAAACUAGAAUAAUAUAUAAGAAAACAAUUUUAUACAUUCCUUUUGUUCAAUUUAGAAAUAAGUCAUUACAGAUAUCUUGCAUGGCAAAUAUUAAUGCAAUUAACUUUUUUAACUUCUGAGAUUAUUUUUAAUUUAAACUUGUAUGUUUAAGAUUUAUUUUGUUUGUUUAGAGUGCUUGCCAGCAAACGCUGUGUUAAUGUAAUCUUAACUAUUAAAAUUGGAUUUUUUUUCUGGCUGUGUACAUAUUUCUGUCAUUUUGCUUUCUCAUCAACCAGUUAAAAUAUUUUUUUUUCUGUUCAUGUGAGUUUUUCAUUUAUAUUUAUGUAUAAGGCACAGCACAGGCUGUGUUUCAAGUAAAAUAUUGGACUGAUUUUGAGGGAGUUUUUUUUGUUUCUAUCAUUUUUAGUCUUUUUGAGGAAGUUGAAUAUUUUUCCAGAAGUGCUAUACUUUAUUCCUAGUACUUUCCAGAUGAUAUUGAUAACUCCAGGAACACUAGGAAACAGAAAACGUAAUAUCAAUGUUAAUUUUAUAGAAUAUAAAAUGUUAUUCAACUGGCCUUUAUUUUAUUUACAUAUUUACAUAGGGAUAUAUGUGUAAUUUACAUCAUUCCUAAUUUCAAGAAUAAUUCUAAGUUAUUUACUAAAGCACAAAAAGAUUUAACAGAAGAAUACUAAGUUGAUAAGUAAUUUUGGGAAAAAUAGUGAUACUAAAGGUAAAAUAAAUGAACUUGGGGGAUAAUGAGAGUAAACAAAAAUUUAUGUUUAUAGAGUUUUGUUACUAGAGGAGAGUCUUAUGUUAUUAGAAGACACCAUAGAUUUGAUGCUAAAUGUACUAGUAAUAAAAGCAAAAUCUGUAUCAAUUACUACAGUAUUUAUUAUUUAUAAUAUAGCAGCUAAUGCUUACCAGCCACUCAUAACAUUCUAAAAACUUUGUCCAGCAUUUGAUACGAUUAUCUUAUUUAAUUAUUGCAAUGACCCUGAGGAGUCCUGAUGUUGUUAUAUUUUACAUUUGCAGAAACAGAAUCUCAAAGAAGUUAAGUGCCUUUCCUGAGAUCACACAGCUAUUAGCUGGUUGAGCUGGGAAGUCUGAGUCCAAAAUCUAUGCUCUUAUUCACAGAAUAAACAUUUUUAAGGGGAUAAAAUAUUAAUAAAUCAGAAAAGCAUACCUUGUCUUAAUUCUAAAGAUAAGAAAAAAAAAUUUUCUGUUGGGAUUAUGCUUGGUUCAAGGAUAAAGUGGAGCCUAUCUAGGGGAAUGUCCGUAAUGCAUAACCUUCAGGCAAUCCUUGUGAAUAUCUCUUUGCUCUUUGUUGUUACCAAAUUAUUUUGUCUUAAGGCUAUGAGAAAAUUGACUUUCUAAAAGCUGUGUCUCCGAUGAACAGUUAAUACUAAAGCCAAGGGGAAGACGUACUGGUCAGAAUUAUAGUAACUUUAUCCUUACAUAUAUCUAGAAGAAAUACUCUUGUAACUGAGAGCUAAAUCUAGAAAUUCUUCUGUCAUGCAGAAUUUUGAUAAAUGUCCAAUGCUAUUUUUAGUUUUAAAUGUUUUUUACGUAUAUGUUUUAUUUUUGUAUCAUCUUUCACUUAACUAUUGAACUACAGUUGUUCUGUGAUAUAAACUCUUACAAACAAUAUAGAUUUGGCUUUAGUUUCAUUAAUUUUUCAUAAAUGCUUGAGUAUUCAUAGUACCUUAUGAAUUUAUGAUAAAUUUAUUACAGAUUUAUUCAGGCAGAGACAUAUUUGAAAAUUUGUAAUGAGGAAAAAAAAUCAUCUUAUGAACAGCUCCAUAAUUUUACUUUCCUAAUUGUGUGUACCUUUUGGGUCUAUUUUAUAUUUAUUUAAGUUUAUAUUGGUAUUUAUAUAUUCAUAUAAAUACUUAUUACAUAUUUAUAUAGGAAUAAUGCGAAGCCAUGGUUAACUUCAUAAUCCAGGGAUGCAGGCUUACCAAAAGACUGAGACCUCAUCAUAGGAUAGAAUGAUUUUCCUUCUCACAAUAUAAAAAGUAAAGAAAAAUAAAUUAACCAAAACCUCUCUCAUGCAAAAAGAAAACAUUAUUAACUUUUGGUGAAAUUCAGACAUCUCUUCCUGUGUGCAUACUGUAUGUAAAGAGGAAAAAGGGGAAGAAUUAAUGGUUGGAUAAAAUAAAUGUACACAAUAUACUUUAUAUGUAUUACUUCCUAAUAAAAAUUAUUUCUUUUUUAUAUAACAAAAUUGGAAACUAAGGUAAAACUGAAAUAAUUACUGUUGAUUAGGGAAAACUUUCCCAUCACAUGUGUUUCUGUCAUUUCUUUUGUUUCUCCCUUGAUUUAGGUUUUUUUUAAUGCGGUAGGCCAAAGUCUUAGGUGAUUUGAUAUUAGUUUUAGCAUAAUUUGCACACAUAGAAUUCACAGAAGAUAUAAUUUCAUGCAAACAUGUAAACUUUCAACUGUAAAAUUUGUAUGAAGGACUGUUAUGUUUGCUAUGAUAUGGGGAGACCAUUUAGUCAAUGAGGUCUUUGUACUUCCAUUGUGAUAAUUUAGAUAGCUUUUAUUUUCUGAAAUGUGUUUGAAAAUGUGGAAAAUAUUUUAAUAUUUCCCUGGUUUUUUUGGCUUUCAUGCUAAUAUAUACAUACAUUCUAAUGUAUAUUAUAUUCCAUAUAAUGUAUAUUUUCUGCCAUUUUUCAAGUGUUCUUUUCCCCUGGCCUUUCUUCUACCCUCCAAUAAUUUAUUAAAUGUUUUUAAUCUCCCCCCCCAGCCUGUAAUUUAGUUUUGUGCAUUUUAAAGCAGUAUUGGUUAUAUGCACUUCAGCAAACCAGUUUAUGCCAGCUAAAGAUUGAAAAGGAGAAAUUAAUUUAAGAUUUAGUUCUGUGUUUUUUAAAACCUUUUUAAAGAUGAAGAUAUUGAUCUUGUAUUACUAGUAUUGAAGCAAACUCAUAUUGUUUAGUUCCUUAUCAUAAGUUAGAGGCGUUGGAGGGUUAAAGUUUUACCAAAGUAAAUCAUAAUAGAACUGGACAAUUUAAUAGUGAUGUCAUAUACAAAAGCUCAAUUAAUAAUCCUAUACAACCAGUAGGUGAAGAUUUUAUUUUAUUAAUAAAGCAUCUGAAAAUGAGCCUAGGGUCAUAACUUUUAAGAACUAGGAUUAUAGGGUCAUGCUUUAUUCAUGAAUAGUAGACAUGCUUUCUCUAUAGUGAGCUAAGCUAUACUUCUGAACUUGAAUGAUUGUCUCAGUGUUACCUUUAUCUCAGAUUCAUCAUUCAUAUUCCUUUUGAAAUAUCUUUAUCUUGGUAUAGAUAUUUAUGUGUAAACACAAUAGUUGCUAUGUAAUAGUUUCUGUUUAGCCAUUAAUUGGAGAUACGUAAUUAGAGUUGGUGCUGGGGUAUCUUCUAGAAGAAAAUGAGAAGGAGUGAGGGAUUUGGGUGUGUCAAAGGAAGAUAAUGGAGAGGACUUGAAAGAAUUCUUCUAAAAUGAGAAUUCUUACUAUGCAUGUCCAUGAAUUGUAUUUAGGCCAUAGGAGAACUUGUACAAGAAAAUAAAAUAUGUCCCACUUCACUACUCUCUAAUUUAGCAUUUCCUUUAAUUGCAAAUAGUCCACAAACUACAAUAGUGUUAGUAGCAACAAUGACUUCAUCUCCAACAAACAUUGCAGAUAUUCUUAUAUCACAUUACAGAUGUUUCAGAUAGCUUGGAAUAUGAUUUAUUGUUCACUACUUUGAAAUUACAAUAUUUAUUAGACUUCCCUCUAUUAAAUGCGUUGGUAAAGUAAUAUAGUUAUGUAUUAUAGUUUCUGUUGGAAUUCUCUGCAUUUUAUUUUAAGCAUUUUUUAACCUUAUUCUCACAAACGGACUAAGCUUCAGUAGACUGCCAAAGGGAUCCAUAGCAUAAAAAAUAUAAAACCCUAGCUCUAAGAAGUAAGCUAAUUCAGCUUUUUAUUAACCUUUAUUCUAUUCCAAAUGUGAUAACAUUUCUCCAUUUUAUCUGCCACCAUGCAUAAAGUUAUAAGGGAAAUUGCAAAAUAUUUUUCUACCAAGCUACCUAUUUUAUAUUCAGAUUAUUUUAGUAUUAAGUUCAUCUUGUAACAUGUUUUAGGCUUUGGAAGAUUAGCCUUAAUGUUUUUAUUUGUCAAUAUAAAUUUAUAUUAAAAUACAUAUUAUUAAUACUUAUUUCUAACAUAUUAUUUAUUAUUUUCAGUGCACUGUGCUAAGGAUUCACCUCCAUUAUUGCAUUCAAUUCAGCAACCUCAUGAGCUUAGGUUUAAUCAUGCAUUUGUAUUUUUAUAGAAUAAAUCUACCCAAGAGAAUGGGGAAAAUGAAAAAUUGUUAACUAAUUUAAGCCCAUCCCAGUCCAAAACCAGUCGAAACAUCUCAAUGAAGUAAAGGUAGAAUGAUAACUGCAUUUACAAAUAUUUCUUGGUAGGAAAAAAGUAUUUUAUUCUAAUAAAUAGAAACAUGUUAAGCAUAAUGUUAUUCAUAUUAAUAAUGAAUAUUAAACAUUAACAUUAAGUAUUAUAUAUAAAACAUUAACAUAUUAAACAUAAAUAAGUAGAAAGUUAGGUUUCAUUUUGAUCUUAAUAAUUUAAGAGUAACAACUGGCACAGUGUUCAAAUAAGUAGCACCUAGAAUUGUGCUAAUCACAUAGAAAAACAGAAAACCCGAAGGCACAAAAGCCUAUCAGUGUUGAUGUCCACAUUGCUGUUUUCCAAGUAUUUGACUACCGUCUCUGAGCAAGAUUCUCUACAGAUCUUAUCAAUAUUUGUAGCUUCCUGCAAUUUGUUUUACUACUCAAAGUUUACGAUUAAUGGACCUCUCCCUAAUAGAUUUAACUAAGUAUGUCUGCUCUUUCUUUCAUUAAUUGAGCACAUGAAGUAUGUGACUCAUUCUUAAGUUGAAAUACUGCCUUCAGCAAGGAUUUGACAAUCAAUUCAAUCAAUUAUUUCUAAAUAUAUUUGGAUUUAUUGCUUUCAUCUCAGGCUCUUUCUGUAUAUAUGAAAAGUGUUAAGACAGUUUUAAGGAGUGCAUGAGCUAUACCCACAUUCUGGCUUUCCCAACACAUGCAGACAUGGGAAGGCCCAAAAAGAGGUCAGUGUCCUCUCAUUUUCUCUUUCAUGCACAAAUGUAUAAACACACGCAAAGACACAGAGGACAAAACAAGAUAAAAUGGAGUAAAUUUAGAUUUUAAAAAAUGUAAGAUUCAGUUCACUGGUAGCUGUAUUAUAUAUCAUACAUUUUUAGCAACACAUGUAAGAUUUAUGUCUUGAAUAAUAUAAAAAAAGGUUCAUCUGCUUGUAAAAUGUAAGUCUUAUAGUUCAACAUAAUAGAUAAACAUCAAAACUAGUAUCCUCAUUAGGUUGUAUAAUGGUAUAUUGCCACUUACUGUUAUUUAAAUGUCAUCCCCAUUUCCUUUUUGUAGUGCUGAUGUUAACCUUGUAAGCUCUAAAUUGUCUGGAAGUUAAUGGUCUGUUAUAUGAGUUUCAUAGUUCUUAGUGAAAGAAUAUUAGAUUAUAUUAUGCAGUUUGAAAUGUAACUUGAUCUCUACCUCAUAAUCAUAAGUAAUGACAUAGUCUUGGUUGAAAUUAGGGACGUUUGCUUUUUCUGCUGAUGCUGUCCAUAGUAUAAAUGAUAAUUUUUAUUUUUUUGUUUUAAAUUGACAAAUAUGUUUAUUUGUCCAUUCAUUACACCCAAGUUUAUGAGGGUUAGAAAAGAGAACAAAUAUAAGCAUAUAAGAGUACAGUGUACUUCUUGAAAAUCAAACUUUGAAAUUUAUCUUAUUAAAGUUGGUAAAUUCAGAAGCAUUAUAUUCUGUCAGCACCCACAUAUACCCUUGUCUGGCUUUGAGAGAGUUUUAUUUUUUUAAUUUUAUAAGAGUUAAAUUUGAAUUGGAGCUAAUGUAACUGACAAGAGGGAAAUAGAAGCAAUUGGCUUGCACUAAACAAGUUUGAAUGGUUGUUAAUGUGAAUGACUUUCAGGCAGUGAAUGUCAGAGAACAGUAGAUUACUUUCUUUACCUCGGGCAUUUUAAACCAUCUCCUGUGGUAGGAUUAACAUAAUUUCUCUCUCUCUUUCUUGAAUCUAGGAAGCAAAGUAAUUGGAGUCUGGUAAUUUUGGCCUGUGGGUGAUGAAGAUAAAUCAUAACAAGCUAUGGAAUACACAUUGACAAUUCACAUAGGGCUACUAGAACAUGAACUUUCAGUAAUGCAUUAAACAAAUAUUGUUUCUUUCUGAUUUAUAUUCAAGAAAGCCACAGAACUGUUAAUUAUGAAUGCAGUUAUCGUUUGUUAUUUUUGACUAAAUUCACAUGCAAAACAAAUUGUUUCAAAAUAUAAGCUAUUGUGUUCUUAAACAUGGGCUAAGAAGUUGUAUCUUUUAUAUGAUUUUGAGUGAUCAUAUUUGUUUAACCGAAAUUAUUUGAGAUUUUAAAAGAAUAGAGGUGGAAGAGAAUACAAGACCAUCUGGUCUAGCCCCUCUCCUUAAGGCUUAUAAAUGUAUACAUCAUCUUGAGCAGAUGGAGGUGUACUCACCUAAAAUUUUAUACAAAUAUAGGUUCUACAGUUCCAUUCAAUAUCUUAUUCUUGAAUUUGGUCACUAAAGCAUUAAAGGAUCCUAUUUUAUAUUCAGAUUAUUUUAGUAUUAAGUUCAUCUUGUAACAUGUUUUAGGCUUUGGAAGAUUAGCCUUAAUGUUUUUAUUUGUCAAUAUAAAUUUAUAUUAAAAUACAUAUUAUUAAUACUUAUUUCUAACAUAUUAUUUAUUAUUUGCAGUGCACUGUGCUAAGGAUUCACCUCCAUUAUUACAUUCAAUUUAGCAACCUCAUGAGCUUAGGUUUUGUUGUCUCCAUUACAGAUUUAGGAAAGCAAGAGUAAGGAAAGUUAAGUAAUGUGGCCAAGCACAUGGCUAAUGAAAAGAGUUGCUAUAACUUAAAUUUCUGGACUAAACUUUUUCCUACUGAUCUACCUCCUCAGUGUUAAGAGUGCAAACUCCUUCUCUCUUAGGGCAAAAUUUCUGUCACUUUGUUGUUCAUCCACUUUGUAUCAUCUUAUAGUCCUCUUUUCUCAGCUAAUGGGAGUAUAUCUCGUGUUUUUGAAACUUUUGUUCAUUAUCAUCCAUACCAGCCAUUUUAGAAUUUGUUUCCUAAUGUCUUCUGAUGAAAUUUUUAAUACCACAAAUAUGCUGUGUAUCUGUUUAUGUAUGUGUAUAAAAAGAGUAGUAUUUUUUGUCCCCUCUAAGAAUCAGUUUCCCCCUUGGUACUGAUAUUGCUCCCUUUUAGAAUGAAUGUAGUUAUCACUAUUACUGUACAUUUUUGAUUGCAUAAGUACAUAAUUAUUUUUACUUAAUAUGAAAUGUUAAUUUGUUAGAGUAUGAAAAUAUUAAAAUAUCAACAGUAAUUGUCCUCUUUUUAAGUUACGUGAGCUUUCCAAUGCCCUGAAAUGAGAAUAAUUUUGAAGAAGAAUAUAGAUAUCAAGAUAUAAAUGAAGUUUAAUUCUUUUAUAACAAUAUGUAAUUUGUGCUACUAAAGAAACCUCAGGAUGUAAGUAAACAUAAUCCUGCCCAUUUUACCUGUUUUUAGACCUUUUGCUAAAUUUUUUGUUUAUCCAAAUAUAUGCCAUCUUACCAUAAAUCUGUAUUCCUCUCUGUUUUGACAUCACAAUCUAUUGCCAUGGAAGUGAUUGAUAGCUUACAUUUAUCUUCAUGUCUUCAGAGCAGGUUCAUAAGGAGACUGUCUGGAAGAAAUAGACUUUAUUGGUACCAGCACAAGCAGACUUUUAGAGGUCCUGUACAAGUUUACGUCCAUCUGUAUUUUUUUUUUAAAUACAAGAGUUGCAAAUUGGUACUUUAGAAAGUGUGAAGACUUUGCUUUUCAUUCUGUAAUUUCCAUUCAAAAACCAUAUUUGAUUAUGAUUCUUUCUAAAAUAUUCAAAUAAUGGGUUUUCCACAACUUUCAUACUUUAAAUAUAAAAUGAGCUUACAACCCGUGAGUAGGAAACUGUGGUAAUGGAACAUAUUCAGCUUUAUCAUGUUAUGCAGAAAUACAGCAGUUAGGAAUGAAACCUCAUUGAUAGGUUCUUUUACUGGGAAAUAAACCAGAAGGUGAUGAAAAUCACUUGGCAUUUUUAUAUGUAGUUUGUAGAAAGUUCCUAGUCUGGGGCUUUGAUCUACUUCAUUGGAUCAAAAACAUAAUAAAUUGAAUCUUGAAACUUGCUAUAUCCUUUUGGAAUUACACCUAAUAUUGAAUUAUUCAUGUAGAUGAAACUGAUCAUUUAGGUUUCAGAAUUUCUUUUUUUCUGUAAUGGUUCCAGUUCUUUUUUGCAUGAAGUUUUUUGUUGUUGUUGUUUUAUACUGAAUUUUACAACCCUUCAGAUAUAAAAGAGGCAUUUCUGUACUGUCUCUUGUCACUCAAAACUAAUUUUGAUUUCAUUGACUACCCCAUAUAUGUUCAGAAACUAAAAUAAUUUCAAUAUAGUCAAUUAAUUAAGUGAAGGAUUUUUGACCCCUACAAUGAUUUUGAUCUGUAUUAGUCUUGAGGAGGUAAGAACUUCAAAAAUUAUUACCUGUGAGGGAGCCCAUGACAACCAUCACAUUUUCAUGUACAUACAGAAAAGAAUGAUACUGUAUAUAGGAGUAAAGUAGAGGAAUUAAACAAGCUUCCUAUUCAAAUGAAGAUUUUUUAAAAAGCUAUAACUAUUAACUGUUUGAUGAAGGUUUUGAAAGGAAACGUGAAGUGGCCACUGUGCAGAUAUGGUUUGAGUGACUUAACGGGUCAAGUAUUUGACAACAGUAAUGCUUCCUGUGGUUUUUAUAUGAAGGAAAAAAUGAAAAAUAGGAAACAGAAACCAGAAGUUUAUGUAAACCUACAUAAAUUAACUCUUAAAUGAUUUAUUUUAUUUUGAAGUGUCUGUGUAUUGUGGAUGAACCAAACGUUCAGACUUUCUUCCAGUGCUCUUGGCCCUCCUCUAUUAAAUGUGUGUCUUGUUCCCUUUCCAGCGUACAUACAGCUCAGUCAGUAGGAACUAGACAGAGAAGCUGUUCACUUAAAAAGUUGUCAUUUCCUUAUAGAUACUUUCUUUUCUUUAUUAUUAUACUUUAAGUUCUAGGGUACAUGUGCACAACGCGCAGGUUUGUUACAUAUGUAUACAUGUGCCAUGUUGGUGUUCUGCACCCAUUAACUCAUCAUUUACAUUAGGUAUUUCUCCUAAUGCCUUCACUCCCCCCUGCCCCCACCCCACGACAGGCCCCAGUGUGUGAUGUUCCUCUCCCUGUGUCCAAGUGUUCUCAUUGUUCGAUUCCCACCUAUGAGUGAGAACUUGCAGCGUUUGGUUUUCUGUCCUUGUGAUGUAGAAAGCUGAAACUGGAUCCCUUCCUUACACCUUAUACAAAAAUUAAUUCAAGAUGGAUUAAAGACUUAAAUGUUAGACCUAAAACCAUAAAAACCCUAGGAGAAAACCUAGGCAAUACCAUUCAGGACAUAGGCAUGGGCAAGGACUUCAUGUCUAAAACACCAAAAGCAAUGGCAACAAAAGCCAAAAUUGACAAAUGGGAUCUAAUUAAACUAAAGAGCUUCUGCACAGCUAAAGAAACUACCAUCAAAGUGAACAGGCAACCCACAGAAUGGGAGAAAAUUUUUGCAAUCUACCCAUCUGACAAAGGGCUAAUAUCCAGAAUCUACAAAGAACUUAAACAGAUUUACAAGAAAAAAUCAACCCCAUCAAAAAGUGGGUGAAGGAUAUGAACAGACGCUUCUCAAAAGAAGACAUUUAUGCAGCCAGUAGACACAUGAAAAAAUGUUCAUCAUCACUGGCCAUCAGAGAAAUGCAAAUCAAAACCAAAAUGAGAUACCAUCUCACACCAGUUAGAAUGGCAAUCCUUAUAGAUACUUUAAAUAUUAUUUUUCUUGAGUAUUUAUAUUUAAUGCAACUGGAAAAGAAAUAAACUUAGAAAUUUAAAUGACUGUGGAAUGUUUUUAACCAUUCACAAGCUGUAUAAUAAUCCAUAAUAAUCCAAAACAAAUAUCAAGUCACUUUAGUUUUAGAGAAAUGUUAUUCUUUAUAGGUUUGUGGUUUAUUUAGUCAACUGUGAUGUGCUUCAUAAUACUGAUAUAAAUAUAUGUUUAAAAAGAUAGUUAAAAAUAAUCUCAUGUAUAUGUUUUAAGAAAUGAGAUAAUCCUGAGAGUCUUAAAGUAUCUUUCCCAUUUAAGAAAAAAGUAGAAGCAAGUAUUAAAAGGAUGCAGUAGUGUUGAAAGACAGUUUAUGAAAAAUCAAUAGCCUAUGCUCAGACAUGAAAGCUUAUUAAUUCUCUAGUGGAGUCUGGAACAACUUCCUGUGAUCAGACACAUUAGUCUCCCUGAAGCAAAAGCAAGAGGGAUUAUUAAAUACUAUAAACUGCCUCAUCAUAGUUCAGAAUUUGAAUAAACUUUUGGUUUUCAGAGCUUUUAUUCCUGAUGUUGGACAAAUCAUGAUGGAUCUGUAGUAAUUCAUUUGCAUUCUUACGAUAAGUUAUUAUUAUACCCAUUUUAAAGGCAUAGAAACCGAAAGAAAAAGGAGUUGGGUAACUUCUUUUGGGUCACACAGUUAUUAAAAGGACUCAGGCAGUCUGACUUUACAAAUCGUGUUCUUAAACAUGAUGCUAUACUGCCAGUGUGACAGACAUGCAUGUAUAUAUACAUACAGACACAUGUAUAAAUAAGCAUUUAGAACUAUUUAGAAGUGGAUCCCAAAACUUCUAUACAUUUAUAUAAUUGCUUUAAAUAAAGGUUAUUUUCUUAAAUAACGAUUGUAUAUUCCUCUCAUCUUUUUGUUGCCAGUAUGAUAUGGUUUGGCUCUGUGUCCUCACUGAAAUCUCAUUGUGAAUUGUAAUCCCCUCAUGUAGGAGGAAGGGCCUGGUGGGAGUUGAUUGAAUCAUGGGGGUGGACUUCCCCAUUGCUGUUCUUGUGAUAGUAAGUUCUUACAAGAUCUGGUUGCUUGUAAGCACAUGGCACUUCCACCUUCACUGUCUCUCUCUCUCUCUUGCUCCACCAUGGUUAAAUGUGCUUACUUCCCCUUCACCUUCUGCCAUGAUUAUAAGUUUCCUGAGGCCUCCAAGCCAUGCUUCCUGUUAAGCCUAUGCAACUGUGAGUCCAUUAAACCUCUUUCCUUGAUUAAAUUACUGAGUCUCAGGUAGUUCUUUAUAGCAAUGUGAGAAUGGACAAAUACCUAGUAUGUAUUAUGCUUUUUAUUCUCCAGAUUAUUAUCAAAGCUUGUAUUUAGGUGGAUAUUUAAGAAAUUCCAUAUUUUUUGUUUUUAUUUCAGGUCUAAUUUAUAAAAUAUUAGCUUAUAUUGGGAAUUUCAACUUUAUGACAUAUAGUUUAAAGAAUACAUAGAUGACCAAACACAAACACUCAUGGUAAAUCAUGAGAAAAAAAUGUAGUCAAAACUAUAAAAUUUAAGUUGUAAGAAACUUGCAAUAAUUGCUACAUCAGCACAGAACUUACGUUUCUUAAACUUGGUGUUUGUACCCUGGAAUGGAUAGGUGGACAGCAGAAUUAUGUUUACUGGUGUUCACCACAUAAGUUAGGAAUGCUUCCCAAUAUUUUUAUUACUGAUCUUGCACUUUUUAAUUUAUCCAAACUUUUGUGACUCUUUGGAGCAAUGACUGAUACCACAUUUGAACCAGGUAUAUACUAGAGCUUGAAACAUCUCAUAACACUAGAAAAUAAGGAAGGUAUCAAAGCUUACUAAAGUUCUGUCACAAGAAUUGAGGAGCCAGCUUGAAAUCACUACCACUAGCCAGUCUGAGGUAAAAUAAAAAGAUUGAAACAAAGGAAGUAACUGUAAUGGACUGAAUCACAUAAAAUAUAUUUUAAAAUUCUUAAUAUUAGGUUGGUGCAAAAGUAAUUGCAGGUUUUGCCAUUAAUUUCAAUGGCAAAACCUGCAGUUACUUUUACACCAAUCUAUAGAUUAUAAAAUUGAUAUCGCUGAUAAUCUUUGGAUGAUAGUAGGAAACCAACAUAUUCUGAAACCUAUAGGGAAAGAAAUAUUUAACACGCCUUUCCUAAAUUAACCGUAACUCAAGAUAACUAAAUAGCUGAAGAGUGAAGCCUCCCUGUAUUUAUUCCAACUAAUGAAUAAAGACAAAAUGGUAGAAUUAUAAUAUUUCCACUGUGCAAAACUUAAUAAAAUGGAUUUAGGUGAUGAUUUUAAUGGCUGUUAAUAUUCCAAAAAAUGGAGCACUGAAUAUUCUGAGCCUCCUAAUAGAAGUAUACGACACCUACGAAAUAUUUUUGCCAAAAAUAUUCAAGUCUGAAUCUUAUCAAACUUCUAGUAUAACUACCAGUUUACAGGAUAUUCUGGGCACUGAGAGAUGUGUGAAUAAUACUAAGCAAAGAAAUCUAGAAUGUAGGACUUUCUAUUAUAUAAUGUAUAAAUAUUGCUAGGAUGUACUAAUACUCUAGUACUAAUAUUCAGGUUUCUUUAAUCACCCAAGUGCUGUGUGAGAAUGGGAGAGGAGAGAAAGGACUUACAGAUUAAAGAGACUUAAAAGGCUUAUCAACCAAAACACAAUGUGUGGACAUUAUUCAGAUCCAAAUUUGAACAAAUCAACUAAUAUAGUUAAUGAAUCUAGGUACAUGUGGGUUUGUUACAUUCUUCUAUCUACUUUUCUGUAUGUUUAAUAUUUUCCAAAGUAAACAUAAAAAUGGAAUAUAGGUUUGUACCUCUACCUGUAUUUUCAUCUUUCAUCACUAUGUAAGUAACAAAUUAUGAGAAUUUAUAAAAGCUGGAAAUUGGGUUAUCAUUUUCAUUAUUUUUGAAAUUAUCUGUAAUUGCAUUUUAUUUCCUCUUUGAUGAAGUAAUUCCUUAGGCGAGCCAUUAAAAAAAAUCUCCCAUUGGUUUUGACUGUUGUAUUACAUGUGAUCAAAAAUGAGGUAGUGUAAUUUGUGCGUUUUUGAAAAUUUUUAGUCCUCACUAUCCAGGUUAAUGUUGAUUUUUUUGUUGUUGUUUACAAAGAUAUAUAGACUAUUAAAGAAGAAAUUUUUAUCUAAAAUAUGGUAGUUUACCAUCAUUAAACCUUCUUUGUCAUUAUAUUGCUAAAGUCAGCGAGAUCAUUUUAGGUCGCAGUGAUUUUUUUACAGAUACUAAUGGCUGACACCAAUAAAACUGAAUUUUGCUCAAUUUUUUUCCUAAUUUUUUUGCUAUUGCCAUUCUGAUGCUAUAUGCUUCAGUAGAGAUUCAUAUUUGUUAUGCCUUCAUUAUGAAUUGGAUUUUCUCUUUUGUCAAUAUACAAAUUCUCAAUUUUAAUUAUUAAUAUAUAUCAAUUAUUUAUUAACAGAUAAGAUGUGACAUGCAACUGAGAUCACUACAUUAUUCAUAACAAUUAUGACUCUUAAUGUUAAGUCUUAGGAAAUAAACCUGUCUUAGCUUUUUCUAUCCUUCUUCUUUAAUUUUUCUGUCACAAUCAUGGCCUGCUCUAAUCAGAAAUCAAUUCUUAGCUAAAGAAUACAUGCUUCUGAAUUCCUAAGCUUCCAUCAUUAUUAUUGACAGUAUUUGUGGAGUUUUACUUUUUUCUUGGGACCAUGGAGAGUGAAGCACAUUUUGAUAAAUGGAGGUCUGAACUAUACCUUUAUACUGGAUAGUAUAAAAGCCUUUUUAGCUAUUUUAAUAUUUCAGGGGAAAAGACCAUUUUGUCUUGGGAAAAUUGAAUGAACGAAUUUUCCAUAAAAUGAAAUGAUUAACAAAAUCUUGCUGAAUUUCAUGUUUUUAUUUAGCAGGUAUUGUAUCUAAAACGUUGUCAUUGUCUGUCAGAACAGUGUUAUAAUGCCUUUAUCUUAAAUUCUUUAUAAACUAGCUGAUUCUUGAAGGGGAGGGCAGUAUAUUUGCUUACAUUCAUUGUUAAUUUGAAAGAUGGAUUUCAAACUGUAGAGCUGCCGUGAAAAAUAUAAUGCUAAUUGUAGUUUGAAAAGCCCAGACACCUUCUGAUAGUACAGUUUUACACCCAAGUAAUUUAAAUCAAAAUCUGGAAAACACUUUUUUUUCUUUUGAUAGCAUAUAUGUAAUAUGCCUUAAUUAAUAGGAAAAUCCACAUGCUGGAGAAUGGUGAACAUGAUUAAAUAGAUUAAAUUACUUUUCUUAUACUAUGCAUUAAUAGCUUUCUCAACCAUGUCCCAGCGGCUGCAGCACAUUGUGCUAUACCUUACUGAGGAAAUCGCCUGAUUUUUUUUUUUAAUCAGUCUUCACUAUCUUGCCAUUUUUUACCAUUAUCAUUCUAACUUAGUGAAAUCCUGGUUUUCUCAAGUGUCUAGUCUUUCUUUGAUUUUGAUUUCACAUAUCAUACACAUCAGUUAUUUAUAUUUUAUCUUGUUAAUCAACUAAUUUCUUCACAUAUUUUAUUUUUCUUCCCAAACACAUUUUUGUUCAACUUGAAGGCAAAAAGUAUCCUUGGUUCUGGAUCAUUUUCCUCAUGGUUCUCAGUUGUAGAGAGGUGGAAGACACAUGACAAAUUCUAGUUUAACUGGAUUCUGUAAUUUAAAAAAAGAGGUGUUACAGAGUCAGUCCUGCAGAUGUUUGAGUUCCAGACCCUUCCAGGCAGGUCACCAGGUACUGCCUCUAGACUUAGAUGAUGUCCCCUGAUAAUUCUGUCACUCUUCUUCCGCAAGUUGCUCCCCCUUUGUGAGUCACAUCAUAUAAAUGAUAUUAUUUUAAUACUUUCUCUGUCACGAUCUGUCCACUCUAAGCAGACCUUAUUUAUUUUUAAUCACCCUUUUGCCACGUGGGUCUGCUUUUUCUCAUUCCUUUUCACUUUAUCACCGUCUUAGGGGACUUAACUAGCCAAAUGGAUAACCCAUUUCCUUGUUUUUCUGUUUCCAUGAGCACCCACACACUGCUCAGACCCUUUGAUUUCUAGCAUUAAACUUAUCAAUUCAACCUCUUCCUCCUCACUACAUUGAUUUUUUUUUUUUCCUACCCAGCCUCAUUGCAAAACCCAAUUCCUCAGUCUCUCUAAGUUUUUCUCCUUUCCCUACCCUGUCAGGAUCUGUUCUUGGACUAUUUCACCAGUGUACUCACUCCAGCUAGGGUGCCUCUCCCCUGAUAUCCCUCGUUUUGUCAGACUUCAUUGAAUAAAUCCCACAAUCAAUGUGACCUGAAGUCCUGUCACUGUGCUCAUUGGUUCUAGUAGACAUCUAGUUUACCAUCAGUACUUUGGAUUCAUCUCUUUCCACUUCUUAUUUCUGAGAGCAGCUGGUGGCUCUGACGACGUCCCAUUCUUUAAAACAUCUAACCAUUCUCUUAACUCUCAGCUACAAAUCUUCCCUUUGAUUUUAGUGAGAAAAAUCAACGGCAUUUAAUGUUAACUCCACGAUUACUGUUUCUUUCCUCAACAAAACAUUUUUUAGAAUGUCCUCCCUUCUACCUUCUUCCUGACCUUGUGGCACUUACAUCCUAUGCCUUUUCAGAGAUAAUAGCCCCUUCCUAGGUCUCCUUAAUCUUUGGUGCUCUGGUCUCUGCAGGGACCUUUUCCAUCAAACAAUUCAUCUUGAAAUUUUUAUCUUCAUUAAAGCAGCCACAAAUAUUCAUAUUCUUAAAUCUCAUCAAGAAAAAAAAACCCUUUAAUUUGACCCCAGUUUCCCUGAUUAUACUCUAUUUUAUUUUUUCUUCAUUAGUGAAAGUUUCAAAGAAUUGCCUUUUUAUCAUUCUUGCCUCUAUAGUAUUUACUCAUUAAUCAUCUGUUAUUCUGUUUCCUUGAUCACUCCAUUCAAACUUCUUUUUUAGAAGUUUGUAAUAACCUUCUAGUAGUUAAAUCUAAUUUUCCUAAGAUACCACGUUCUCUACAGUGGAAGCCUUUGUGUAACGUAAAAGAAGCAUAGAUUUAUAGAAUCUUUAUUUGAAUGUUACUUAUAUUUAUGCUACCUUCUGACAAAUAGGUGUGUAUAUGUGUGUGUGCACACUUUUUUUUUUAAAUAACUAUCUGAUCUGCAGUUUUCAUCUAUGAAGAAUUUAUGGUCUUUCCUACUACUUCUUACAGUUGUAUGUUUAACUAUGUAUGGGAUCUCUUACCAUUUUUAGUGCCUCAUAUUUAGUAAUAAUCUACUAAAGAGAUGUUUAAAGCUAUAUAGAUAAAGAUUAAGGACUGUCUUUAAGAAUGCCUUAAUUUUUCUCCCCCUUUCUCUCCUACCCUUGACUUAAUUUUUUGUGGCAAUAUACAUUCAUAAAGUAAAAUCUGAUAGAGCAAUCAUAUGGGAUUUUAAAAAUAUAGUUCCAAGUACAUUACUAAUGGACAAAAGGAAAGCUGAAAUCCAUAAAAUGGGGUAAAAAAAACUCCUCCUCCCUUUUUUGAAUUUUUAAAUUUUUUAUUUAUCUUGAAAUUCUGGUUUAAUUUGCAACAGAUCUAGAAAUUCAAGUCAAUUUAACAAACAUUUGUUGAAUUCAGUAAGGCUUCACAGCCUGAAAUAUCAAUCAAAAUUACUUUUUUUUACCUUAUAUUCCUUUAAUAUUUUGUUUUAGUCCUACAAUCCCCUUGUAACAUGAUAUGCUAUAUUUGAGUUAUUGUCAGUAAUAAUAACUGACAUUUUAAACCAUAAUUGUCUUUGCCAAAUACUAUGCAUGCUAAUCACCUUACAUACUUUGACUAAUCUUUUAUAAAAACAUGAAACCCAAAAAAGAACAUUUUCAUCCUCCUAUAAUGAUGAGUAACACAGAAUGUGUAAAUAAAUUUCCCCAGGUCUGUAGAUAGAGCCAGGAUUUGACAUUAAAUCUGUCUUUUUCAUAGCGUUGCCCUUCCCUUCUUCAGUAGUUUUAUACUUAGACACUUGGGACACCUCAAGGAAAAUGCGAUAUCCAGGAGGAAAGGGAUAAACAGAUGUUUAUAUAAUAUUAUAACAGGGCACAUUUUCAAAGCAUGAAUAGCAGUCAGCUGUUUGAAAGUGUCAAGGAAGCAGAGAAGUCUUGACAGAAGGCGUAACAUUUGGAAUGCCUCUAAAAAGAUGAGCAGGGAAGGCCGGGGAGGGAAAUGAUGGCAUAUUCCCGAGUGAGGGAACAGUGAGUUCAAAGUGUGGGCCCUUCAGGGUCUGCUGAGGCUAGAAUGUAGGACAUAUACCAAUUUAUUAGGUUUUACUUGUUUGUUUCAUAAACAAUGGUAGAGUUAUAUACCUCCUCUCUUGAAUCCAGUUUUGUUGGAACUGUUCAUUUAUUUAGCCUAUUGACCACUAUGUAUUUGUGUGAGUCAAAAGGAAUAAAAUCAGAAAUGAUUUUAUGUGAUAUUAAAAGCUUUAAAAAGCAAUACUAAGCCCAGUGCAGUAAUUAUAGAUCUGUGACCCCACCCCCACUCUUACCCCUGGAGUUUUGAGUCUGGUUUACUGCUAUAUUGAUUGUAGCUAAAAUCACAACCAGAUCCGCUAAACUUCUUGGCAUUCCUUUUAACCCAAAUUGAUACUAAUGAAUGUCUUAAGACUACAUUGUGCCUCCAGCUCAUGAGCAAACAUUAUGUCUGUUUCAUCAUCCAGUAGAAUGAUAAGAUUCAUUUAGGGUUAUUGAGGAAGAUUCUGUAAUUGUAAUGAAAUCCUGGCAUGUUGUAACUCUCAGAACACUGUUCCCCAUAGUGAACAUCUACAAUUAGUUGGAAGUAAUCUCAGUUCUAAAGGCCUUCAGCAGUGACUACCUCUUCUCUUACCUAUCAUUUGCAUGCACAUAAAUCCAAUGCUGAUUUAGUUUGGCAGGAACAAGGAGGAAGAGAGGAGUGAUGAGAGCAAUAUGAAUGGGCUUCCAUAUAUCAAAAUAGAAAGUUAUAUUACAAACAUUAUAUACAGCUUCCAUUUAUUGAGACCUUACCAAGUGCUAGGUUCUUUACCAAGUACUCUGCAUGCAGACCUUAUCUAUUUUAAUUCUCACAACUACCCUGUGAUGUAUGUAUUAUUAAGCCCAUUGAAAAUAAAUCAAGAAAUAACCUUAGCAAGAUUAGGUGUCACACAGUGACUACUAGAUUAGAACUGGACUAUAUGCCUAUCUAAUUCCAAAGCUGUCUAAUGCAUGUUAGCAACAUUACAUUGUGACUGCAAUAUAACAACUAUUCAAAAGUUAAAAUAUUUUUAAGUCAGACAAAUCUAAAACACCAUUUUAGUACAUUUCAGGUUUAAUAUAUUUAUUCUGUUUUAGAAUUAUCAAUAUUAUUAUUAUUUCAUUAACCAUGAUAUGCCAUAUUUUCUUUAUUAUUAUUAUUAUUAUACUUUAAGUUCUAGGGUACAUGUGCACAAUGUGCAGGUUUGUUACAUAUGUAUACAUGUGCCAUGUUGGUGUGCUGUACCUGUUAACUGGUCAUUUACAUUAGGGCUAUCCCUCCCCCCUCCCCCCACCCCACGACAGGCCCCCGUGUGUGAUGUUCCCCACCCUGUGUCCAAGUAUUUCCGUAAAGAUUUUCUUAUUCAAUGGCAGUCUACACCAUUAUAUCAAGCAGACUGAUUUGGUUCAUGGUUCUCUUUGAUUAAAAUGUAUCAGUCAUUUAUGUAAGAUAUCGUCAAUGAAUUCCCCUUGAAAUCAUGGAAACAGGUAAUUAAAUUCUGUCAUUUUCCCAAACUUUGGCUUUGUUCUUUUCCUGGAAAGGCAUAAUAUGAUCCUAGAAUAAACCAAGUCUCAUUCCCCCAAGGCUAAUUAACAUGCAAAUAAAUUUUCUAUACACUAGUGUUUUUACUAAGUAAAUCAUUGUAGCUGGACAUAUCAUUUUUAAGCAGAAAUUUUUUUUAUUUUUGUAUUUUGAUAACUCUAAAAUGUUUUAAAAGUUUGCAAAGGUAAGAAAUGAAAGGCUAAUGUAUUCUUUUUGUGCAAUCAGCCAGUCCUUGGUUUCUGCUCGGAUUGGUAUAUUGAAGAAAUGCUAAUAGUAUAUCUGUAACCUGUUAAGGAAUAUCAAGUCUCUUCAGGAAAGGAAUAAUAAAAUGCUAAUGAUCAGCAUUAACUGUCUGAAUUGGAAGGGAUUAUAGAGGAACAUUUCUGUCCUUUUCCUGUCAAAAGAGGAUCACCUUCUACAAUAAUCCCAACCCAGCCAUUACUUAUACCUUCCAAAUUCAUGCUGUAGUAGACAUUCUUUGAGGGAAGAAGUAUAUAUUAUUAUUAUUACUAUCUGGAAUUUCAUAAUGCUUUGCAUAGCAUUUUACAUAAUAUAUGCUAAGUACAUUUUUCAAUGAAUAUUUUAAAAUUCCAAUAAUCAGGAAUUCUCUACCUCACAAAGCAACCCUUUUUAUUUUUAGGCAGCAUCUACCUACUUAAGUAAAAUGUAUUCUCCUCAUCCUUCUGGUACCAAAUAGCAAAACUCUGAUUCUUCUACCAUGAUGGCCAGCACAUACUCAUCAUUCAAAUAAGUUCAUCAGUGCCCCUCUUAAUAUAUGACAUAGACAAGUGAACUUCACAUGCUGUGGUUCAACCAAAUAUGGGCUGUGAUUGUUUUUCACCUCCCUUUUUCUGGUCACUAAGAUUAUAUUCUUGGCAGCCUUAUCUUAGCUCAAGUUUAGCAGUCAACUCAAAUUCUUCUGUGGUUUUUUUUUCUCCAUCACAUUACUAUCAUACAAAUUUACCUUUUAACCUUCUCCACAAUAAGAAAGAAUCUGUACAUUUUAAGAUUACUGAAACAGGGGAGAAAAUAGAGCAGGCAGAAAAGCCUUUGCUUUAUUGGUUGGAGAGAAGGAAAGGAGACACUUGUAAACUUAUAUUAAUCAUUUUUGGUCCAUCAGAUACUUUAUUUUGCAGAGCACUUCCUCACUUCUCAGUUUUUAUUGUUUUGUUUUAUCCUGUGUUGUUUUCGUAUGAUCUAUUGUUGAGCCAGGGUAUCCUCAUAUGUACUUGUGUGAUAGAGUUUUAAAAACAUUUGCAGCAAUCUGUGGCCAACCCUCACAUCAAUGACAUGCUGCUGAUAGGAAGAAGUCUCUGUAUGAGUAUUGAAAACACUGAGAUUUACUUAUUGGAUGCAUUUUAUUUAUAUGGUUUGAUUCUUAUUUUUAAUGAUUUUUUUUCUAUUUUACAAUUUUAAGGGUAAAAAAUGUAUAAAUAUUUGGAAAUAGCUACAUCCAUGGAAGAGAGACACUGAUGAAUGAGUUUGAAUAUGAAAAUCUGAUGGUCUAUCCUGAAAGAAGAAUUAAAGUUUUGCUAUUUAGUACCAAAGGAUGAUUAAUAGUUUUUCUGAAACCAUAAAAUGCUCCUGGUAUCUUCUAAUUCCAAGUUAAAAAAACUCUGUAAAAUGUUAUUGUAGCUAUUUAGCUUUAAGCAGAUUAUUAUUUUACCAGAAUAUUUAAACAUUUCUAAAUAUUGUCAUCUUUAUUCAUAAAUGUUUCCAAUAUCUGUUCAUAUAAUCUCUGUAUAAAUUUCACAUACUAUACAGCAUGCAUUUAUAUAUGGUAACUAAUAAUAUUUACUACUUAGAACACAGUUAGAAAUGAAUGCAAUAUUCAUUUUGUACAAAGACAAUAUCUCAGAAGAUAACAGGAGAGCAAACUGAGGUAGAAGAAUGAGCUAAUUAGAUUGGAAUAAGAGAAAUGUUCCCACUUUAGUUCUCCAGUGUCUGUUUUACAGACUAUUCAUUUAUAUUAAAACAUGUUUCUAAGUGAAGCAAUUAUAUGAUACUUACAGAUUUUGCAAACAAGAUGUGAAAUUGUUGAGUAUUAUACACUGCUCCACAGAAUGAUUUUAAAGUAUUAAUUUUGUACCUUGACAUGGUGUCUUAUGUGAUAUUUGCAGAUUAGAAUGCAAAUAAUAAAGUUUUGCCAAAUUGGUAUGUAUAUAUAUAUAAACAGUUUUAAAACAGUAUCGUAGGCUGGGCACGGUGGCUCAUGCCUGUAAUCCCAGCACUUUGGGAGGUUGAGGUGGGCGGAUCACGAGGUCAGGAAAUCAAACAUGGUGAAACCCCAUGUCUACUAAAACUACAAAAAUUAGCUGGGCGUGGUGGUGUGUGCCUGAAAUCCCAGCUACUCGGAAGGCUGAGGCAGGAGAAUCGCUUGAACCCAGGAGGCAGAGGUUGCAGUGAACCAAGAUCAUGCCACAGCACUCCAGCCUGGUGACAGAGCGAGACUCCAUCACAAAACACACACACACACACACACACACACACACACACAUAAACACACACACACAUAAACACACACACAAACAGUAUGGUAAAAUACAAUACCAACAAGCAACAAAUUAGGUAAAGAAGUACAUUGGAGUUUUGAAUUUUAAAAUCAGGUUUAUUGAAAUAUAUAAAGUAAAAUUGAUCAUGUUAGUAUAAAUGAGUUUUCAUAAAUACAGAACAUUUUUAUUACCCCAAAAAAUAUUCCUUCAUGCCCCUUUGUAGUCAAAUAUCAAUGUCACUAGCCUUUUUCUCUCCCAUCCUGCAGUGCCACUGCCAGAAAGGGAUUGAACCACUAACCCUGGAUCUGCUGGAAGGCCCUGAUUUGGCUUAUCUAGGGAAAGGGCUGCUUCUAGACCCUUCAACCCCACUUAGCUGUCUAGGGUACUACACCUGACCCAGAUGUAAGUGAGAUUGCAUUUGUACAGAGAAAGAUGGAGCUGCCAUCAAACCAAAUGGAGGAAGAAGCAUUUUCCAGAAUAUAGCUGCUGUUCCCUAAGCAGAGACUUGGAGUCCUGGGAACAUGAAGUAAUGGGUGCCCACAUUAUAGUAAUUUGAUAAAAAUCAGUUAAUAACUUUCAGUGAGAUAGUUAAAAAUCAUUUUUUAAGAUAGAAAUGACUUCUUAAUAUGCUAACUGUAAGAUACGUAUGUUGUAAGAUAAUAGAAUACACAUUAUACCUAAUGUAAUAGAAAAUAUUCAAGGCAUAAAUAUAAUCUGAAAAAGCUUAUGGUUAAUUUUUUUAGUAAGUAAUCUUUUUUGAUCAUUUUUAACUCCUCAAAACAAUACACUUGGCACUGUUGUUUUUAAAUCUCAAGAAUAAGGACUCAAUUAUUUCUUCAAUUUGUUUUCUUCAUAUUCUGAAUUUCACCUAUAUAUAUUUAUUUUUUCAUGGGGGAGUACACAAUAAUUCAGUUUUGAAAUAAAUUAAAAUAAACUCAGAUCCCUUUGUAAAUGAAGGAGCAUUAAUGUCUUUAUUAAACCACAUUAUUGAAGCAAGAUUGACAUGUAAAAGCUGUACAUUUUAAUAUACACAACUUUAUGAGUUUGGACAUAAGAAUAUACUCAUGUACCCAUCACCACAAUCUAUACCAUAAAUCUCUCCAUCAGCUCCACAAGUUUUCUCUCACCAUCUACAUUAUUAUUAUUAUUAUUACGUGUGUGUCUGUGUGUGUGUGCGUGUGAUAGGAACACAAGAACUACCCUCUUAACAAAUUUUUAAGGAACAGUAGUAUUACAAAUUCACCUCUAGCUUUCUUGAAAGGCAGUGCCUUUUAAUUGUUUAUGCCUUCAUUUCAUUAGGAGUUUCUUCUGUCUAAAAGCUUAUUCUGAUUGAUUUUCCCCUAAGCAGCCUAAAACAAUUGAAAAAUCUUGUUAUUGUGUAGCUGUUGGAAAGUCAACUUUGUUUUAAACACCACAUCUGACAGUUAAAAUUUACUGUCACCACAGUAUUGCCCUUCCUGAGAGAGAUUUGUUGUUGAUUUCCUCCCUAAUUUUGGGUCACAUGGUAGAGAAGCAUUGAACAUAUGUUAUUGUGACAAAAUCCACACAUGGAUAUUUAUGAAACUAUAGAAACCUUUUGCAGUUCUCCAGAAACCUGUGAUGAUAACAUUCUAGUUAUCUUUGGUUAUAUUUUUGGUGCAAUAUAUGCAUUUAUUCAGUACUAUUAAAUACCUACUUUGUGGCAAGUAUAAUUUAAAUACUGAGAACUCAGUAGUAAACAAAGUCCUUGUCUUCACAGAAUUGUAUAUUGGAGAACAAGCACUACACAAUAAUUAUAUAAGAAUGCCAUGUGAAUUUUAAGUGCUAUUGAAAAAAACAGUGCUAGGUGAGGGAAUGGAAAAUGAUGGCAAGAUCUUGUUUUGAGAAAGAAGAUAAAGUGGUCAGAAACAUCAGUCCUCUCUGAGGUGAUUACUGAAGUGAAAAAGAUAAGAAAGAAGCCAUGUGACUCUCUGGGGGAGGAAUGUUCCAGCAGAGUAAACAACAUGCAUUAGACCUGCCAUGGGCAAUAUUUGAUGCAGUAGGGCAAGGCAACUCGAAGUGUGCUCACCAUGUUGAUCAUUUAUUACAAAUAUACAACAAGAUUUAAAGCAAUGUAAUGUAAUAUUUGAAUACAUUGAACUGGCAAUUGAUAUGAGUUGCAUGUCUUUUUUAUUUCAUUAUUUGGUAAGUUAUUUUUAUUGUAUUUUACAAAAGUUUAGGCUCACACUCAAUUCAGGGAAGGGGCUUGUCCUUCACUAUAGAUAAUCUGAGAAGCAUCAUGUUUGAGGAAGGGAAGAGGGCCACCUGGGUGAGUUAGGAAAGAGAAGACCUUGGUUCACUUAGCUGUGGUGGGACAAUGAGGAUAUUCUCUUCUGAAUGCAAAAAGAAUCAAGCUGGGCUGCUAAAAGUGAGAAUGGGAUGAAAAGUAAUUAAGAGAGGAGAUAUAAAAUAGAGUAAAUAGUUCAAGGAAGUAGAGUUUCCUGACUGUGGGGAGCACACACCUCAGGUUUGUAGUCAAAAAUUGAAUGUGAACUAGUCAUUAUAGUUAUACGUUUGUCAUUGUUGUUAAAUCCAGCCACUUUCAGCUGUUUUAUUACAAGUGCAGAGUAGGCAGAGGAUAAAAUUUAACUCAGAUUUGGGUUUCUCCAGCAAAAUAUUAAGAGGGGAAAAAAUAGCUGAGAGUUUAUAAAAGGAUGAGAUUAGAAUGAUUCACUUGGAAUCUAAGCUGGAUAAAGAGUGAAGUGAGGACAGGGGAUGGCCAAUGAAAGGCCAGCAGACUAGAAGUGCCAAUGAGGCCAGUGAAUCCCUGAAUGGGAGCACUAGAGCCCAUGAGCUGAAAGGUAAGGGCAAUAACUCUGUGAAAGGGAUGCCCAAAUUGGUGUUUGGAAAUGGUGCAAUUAUUGGUAAUGACUGGGGUGGAAAAGAAGUCAUCUCAUUGUGGUAAUAUUCUAAAACACUAAUAGAAAGCCUCAUUUUCAGACUUAAUGCAGGUCACAGUAGUAUUAUUAUAGUACCAUGUUUUAGAUGAAAUUAGUUACCACCAGAAAUAAAACAUUCAUGUAUUAUGAUAUUUAGCAUUUCAAAUCGGAUAAUUACAAAGGUUUUCAAGUGUUUUUCUUAAGUGAAUGUAUAGUUCCCUUCCUUUUCUAUAUAUGGUGAGAGGUGAACUUCUUUGGAGAGGAAUAUGUGGGAUGAGUCAAAGUACUGGGAGAAUGGAAAGGGUGGGGAGUUGCUGAGUUAUUAUAUUAGUGUCUGCUAUCUUGUAGUUCAAUGUCAAUCUUUUGCUGUUGCCUUUAGCCUCUCUUCUGCCUGGAAGGUGAAAAGAAGGCAUUUAUGGAGAGAUCUACAUUAUAGAAGAGAAAGGGGAGAAGUGUUAUAAGUUUCAGGACCAAUCAAUUUUAGACAAACUGUUGAAUAUUUCAAUUCCUUUAACAUGGAUGAAUUUUGAAGAGUAUUUGAGAAAUAAGUCAAUAUUUUAGAUCAAAGGCCAUAAAUAUCUUAGUUAUAUUACAAUAAUUUGUAAUUAUGUGAAGAAACAAUGUACCAAAUUGUCUCUACUUGGUUUUGGUUUAAAAUAUAGCAUGCCCUAUAUAUGAUAGUACCAAAGCUUUCUUUUGUGUGUAGAAAUGCAUUUUAUAUGCAUGACACCAGGAUACUUAGAUGAUAAGGCAUUGCAUGAAUAGAAGGACAGUCACUCCUUAUUAAAAUUAAUCUUUAUUUUUGUUGAAAUGUAAGACUUACUGGUAUUUUUUUCUUUACACAUUCUAAUUUUCUUGAGUCCACUUCUUUAUUUAAAAAACUUCACAUUUUUGCUUUAAAUUUUUAUCUGUAAGAAAUAUGUUUGCAUUUGGAGGAGACAUGUCUGUGAAAACCACACGUGUGUGUGUGUAUAUAUAUAUUAUGUAUAUAUUUUAUAUAUACCCAUAUAUUUUACACACACACACACACAUGGGAGAAUUUGUUUUCUUAACUUCCAAUGGAAUGCUAUACGGUGCUUCCAAUGUUUGACUUGUCUAGCUGAAAGCUAUGAUGGAUUUCUUCAUCCUAGAUGAUAUGUAUUCCCUUUACUUCAUUACACUUAAUCUAUCUGUGCAAGAUCUUAUGGCCUGUGGUAGACUUUAUACUCUACCAGACAGCUUAUCAGUUUCUUUGCAGGCCUCUCAAUUUGAAUUUUAAGUAAAAAUGAAUAAAUUUGUGUUGCUUGUUGAGACUUUGUUCUGAAAGGCUUCUGCUCUCUGAUUCUAGGGUGAUAACUAGAGAAAGGAAGGUCAUAGAUUGUCAUUUACAAUAGCUGUAUUGUAUCUAUGUGGUCUAUGUAUAUAUACACAUACAUAUGCAUAUACUUGACAUAUGCAUAUAUGUAUGUAUAUGCACAUAGUGAAUAUAUAACUAAAUGCACAUAUACAUUAAUGUAUAAUAUGUGUUUAAGGAGUAAGAGAGGAGAGCUGGUUGUUGAUUAUCAGAAAUAAUUUGAUAUUUGGAAGGAAGAAAGAUUUAUCUUAAUUUAGAUGGGGCAAUAUAUUGUACCAUCUGCUGUUUAAAAACGAACAGUCUUAUAAAAUUGAAAGCAAAACCAGAAAAUAAUUUAAAUAUUCUUCUGGCUUCUAUAUGAUGUGAGGAUUGAACACAUUGCUAAAUUCAUCCCAGUGGGUCAAAAAGGGCAGUUUGAGAAACCCAAGCCCAAGAGGAAAUGGAACAAUUUUAUAAACAAAGUAAAUAAAUAUAAAAUGCUCUUGCUAUCAAAAUUGAGUUAAUACAUCUCUAGCUGCUCAAAACAGUUGCUUUAACACAUAAUGAAGCUGUUUAAAAGAUAGUCAAAAUGCUAUACCUCAGGUUUGCACUCAGAUCAUUUUUUUUUUAUAUUGCUUUUGCUGUUGGAGGACUCCAUACUCCAAAUCUCAACAGGAUUUUAGGUGAGGAGUUUUGUUUUGUUUAUGCUUUUGUUUUUCUUUCCAAGUUAUAUGUGAAUGACUAAAGUAUUCUAAAAUCUCCUCACAUAUUUAUGUCUUUUAGAAGAGCUUAUUUCACAAUGUUCUUUGUAACUUUUAUGAAGGUAAAGAUAUAAUGAUUCGUUCCGUGUUAAUCUAUAAUAUAUAUUUUUUCUAGUGUUUGUUAAAAUAUAUUAUUAUUUGUCAAUAAUUUGUACUGAAAUUUUAUGUUUCUUGGUCAAGACUGUUCCCCUGACCUUUAAGGAAAUUUGUAUUACUAUAGCAGAAUACAUUUUUAGUUAUACAUUUUCAAGGUUUCAUUUACAGUACAAUAAUUUUGAACACUAUUUAAUAAAAUAUCAAGCAAAAUAAAAUAAUCCAGAUCUUCCUUUGUACUUUAGUUCCAUCAAGAAUCAACUCUUCCUGUGCAUAAAUUUUUCUCACCAAUGAAGAAAUCAAGUUGUGUUUAAUAGGUAGUCAAAAUUCAUUAUGUGUAAAGGUGCAAGUUAUUAGGUUUACUAGAAGAAAAGAGGGAUACAGAGAUAGUCUUGAAGCCAUAGAAAUAAUUCUCCCUUAUACAUGGUACUGAACAAAGUCUUCUACUUUUGUGUAAAAGCAAAAUACUGUAGUCCUCCUUCAUCUUUGGAUAAUGAAUCCUCCACAUUUAAGGGAUAUUAGAUCAUUCCUACCAAUAAAAAACUAUUUAUUUAAAAUGAAAACUAAGCCUUUGUGUGAAUUUAAAAGUAUUGUCUAGUGUGAAAACUGAGGAAAAAUUAAGUCUGAAAAGUCAACUGCUUAUAUCUACCUUCUUUAUUUUGAUCUGGCCUUUUCUUCUGAAAAUGUUUAUCUGUAAAAUGGACAUCCUGAUGACGACAAUGAUGAUGAUAAUUCUGAGCAUAAAUCCAGUAGUUCAAAUAAUUCACUCUUUCUUGAAAAAAAAUUUUUCUAUAAAUUUUUGGGAAAUUACCUACGUACAGAUCAGUAGUCAAUGUAUUCAAAUCAAUUUUGUUGCAAGAAUCAGGGAACUAAAGACACUAUAACAAUUCAAGCUAGGGAUGGACCUGGUAAAGUAGAGGUGUUGUAGACAAGCUCCUGACAUUUAUUAUGAGAUAUUUGACUACUAAAAAGCAUUCCUUGAGGUAUUUAUUUGAAAGGUAAUGCUUCAGAUUAAAGGAAAAAAUUAAUGUUUAUAUAUUUUUUUAAUUUUCAAAGGCCACUUGUACAAAUUCUCUUUUACCCUUAUAGGAUUUUAAAUACAUUCUCCUUAAUUUGUUGAUCUGACUGUAAGUAAUGCCUUAUGCUUAGGGUUAUUCUUCAGAGUAAUGUAAAAUAACAUGUUCAGCUGUCAUAAAUGUUAUUCAUGUAGGUUGCCAGGUAUAGAAUGAAUUCUAAAUAAUGUGAGUGCUAAGGAGUCUGGAAGCAAUGUUGCAACUUGUGUAUCUGGAUGCAAGAUAGGGGUGCAAUAGCAUUUUAUACAGGAGAUGGGAAAACAUCUUUCUCCAUUGCAGAGGAGGAGAUGGAAUGACAGUGUCUGAGUAGUCCAAGAGUGUUCCCAGCAUUUGUUGGCACCCUGCUUUCUGGUGUCUCAAUUUUCUUUUUAAUUAAUCAACACCAGUGAUUUGGAUUAAAAAAAAAUGUUGCUAGUGAAAUAAAAGCAAAACCUUGGCACUGUUAAGUAUAGAAUUGAAACCAAGUUAUUAGUAUCUGACAGCAUUUAGAUUGGGAGAAGUAGAACAGAGUCUAUUCUCAUGGACUCUUCAGUACUGCGUGAUUUACUCAGAGCUCCUGGAUGUUGAUUCUGAAGUCCAGAUGACUCAUCAGAAACUGGCAAUGAAGGGCAACCUGGAUUUAGAUAUGUUUGUACAUUCAGAUUAGUGUUAGAAAGAGAGAGGCAGAGAUUGAUGGAGAGAAAAGGGGAAAGGAGAAAAGAGAUUUAUUGACUUCAUUGACUGUAAUUAAAAGGAACUCUGAUCAUUCAAAAGACCUUCCUCAAAGUUUCACACUUCUUUGUUCAUGUUAAAACCUGUUUUUGUAUCUAGGUUCUCAGUAGGGUACCUUUAAGCAAAAAGAAGAGAGGAGCCCUUUAAACUAUAGUUUCAUGAAAUUUCACUCAUUUUAUAUUAGUGACUUUGUGUGUGUGACAUUUUAUUCUUAAAAUGUCUGAGAUAGCUUUUACCUAUCGGGCUCUCAUCACUUCACAGAUGGACUAUUGCAGCUACUUUUUUAAUACUGUUUUUAACAUUCUUGAUUCCUGUACUCAGAACCUGCAGAGGUUUACCACUGCUUGCAGGAAGUUCAAAUUCUUCAUCCAAUGUUCUCCAUAAUGUUGUUCGUUCUCCAUAAUGUUGUUGUUCUCUGUCCAUCUAAUUUUGCCUCCCACUGUUUUCUGACCAGAUCAUAAACUCCUGCUAGACAUAUUCUCUUUCAUUCCUCGCUGUCCUCUGACUUCAUGCUAUUUUUCUCUAGGCUGCUUUAGCUCACAUUAUUCUCCCCUACUCUGAACUUUCACUGAUAGAUUCCACUGUGUGUAUUCCUUAAUUGCCUAUACACCAUACUUCAUUUUAUUCACCCCUCUUGGGGGUGCAUAGACCUUGUCAUUUUCCUUUGUAUGUCCCAUGUGACUUGUUUGAUGAUGAGUAGUGCUGUCUGCAGAGAGAGCACUCAAGUGAUUAUAGAACAUGUCCAUUAAGUUUCCCAAAUAGAAGACUCUUUAUCUCCUAUUCUGCCACUCUGAAAACUAAACAGAGGCUGUGAAAGGCUCAGUAUUGCUGAUGCUGUAAAGACAGGACACCUAGUUGCUUGAAGUCCCAGAUGAUUGAUAGAAAUAGUUUUUGUAUAAAAAAGUGAAAUUGAUUAGCAAAUUAAAUAGGAAUAAAGACAAGUGAGGGUGAUUUAACUUAAUUGAAGAAGAGAUUAGAAAAAUCAGAGCUGUUUUUAAAAAAUAAGAAUAAAAAAAUCAGUGUGGUGAACACACCAAGGAGACUUUCAGAGGAAGGUUUAGAUAAGUCCAUAGGACAAUAAUCUUUAAGGUAUAGCAGAAACAUUGGACCUUCUUGAAUAAGGAAUGAAAUUGUCACAUACAUAAAUCAGAGUUCAAGAGGAUUACCCCAUCCUUGUUGAUCAGUGCUCAGUAAGCCAGGUUGCACAUCUAUUUUUUCCCGUUGUGAGACAGGAAAUAAUUAAAAAGGGAAAUAAUCAGAUUUGUAACUUAAUAAUAUGGUUUGUAAAACUAUUUUAUAUUCAUCUGGGGCUGGCCAGAAAGCCAUCUCUACUAGGCAUGAUGAAAUUAUUCUGACCAUUCUCCAGUAUUUAUAGUGAAAAUACAUGUUCAGUAUCUCUUUUGUUUCAUAAUAUCUAAACAAGAACACGUGGAUUAUUUCCAUCUUUAAUUUCGGGACCAGGUAUAUAUUAGCUCUUUUAAGGAAGUGUCAUGUGGCACAGGUCCAAAUACACAUCCUUCCUUGAUAAUAAUAAGUCUUUAUUUUUAUAAAGCUGUAUAUUUUGUAAGUCAAAUAUCUGUGUCUUUCUAAAUAUGUGCCGGAUGUUUACAUUUCAAAUGGGCAAGAAAAAUACCUGAUGUGGGAUAUACCAGUUUUGUGGGGUGAGCUUCAUUUAUUUAUUUAUUUGUAUUAUUACUUGCCAUUAUUUGAAAUAAUUCAUAAGAGCUAUAUAAGCUCUUCCUUUACUGCCUGGAAUGUUUCAUAUGACCUACUAAAUUUUGCAUUACUGUAUUAUUUUAGCUAGUGGGAACAUUUAGUAUAAUUACUUUGGCUAUUCUUUAUUAGAUUAUGAGCCUCCCAUUACUUCUAAAAGACUAUCUUGGAUGCUGUUUGGGUUCAGUAAAUAACUAUGUAUUACUGCAAAGGUAUACUGAGAUUUCUAUUUUAAGUGGUGUCUGGCUAGCAGCCCUGGACACAACCUUCCAAAAAUUUCCAGUAAAUUGACUAUGAAGACACACAAAGAGAUAUCUGUUCGUAGUAUGGAUAAUAUAGACUGAUUGUCGCUUACUGCCAGAAUUUGAGAGGAAUUCUGGAAUUGUUUUCCUACAUUUAGUUACAUAAAAUUUCAAAACUAUAGCAGUUAAGAUAAUUUUCUAAUGGACACUUGCGUACCCACCUCCUGUAUGUUACUAUUACCAUUUUAUCCUACAUGCUUAUCCCCCACUCCAUUGAUGGAACUAGAUUUUCAAGUGCAAUUGGUGGCUUACCUAUGUACACUUUUGGAAAUAGAGCUAAGUUUGCCCUAAGGCAAUAAGUAAAAAGCUGCAUGGCUCAAAAUAAAAGGUUUCUUUAAACUGGGAACUGGAAGCUACUCAUAUAUUGUAUAAAUUUUGCUUUUCAAACAAAGCAAACCCCUUCUGCAAGUACCUAUCUGUUUUAGUAUGUAUUCAGAAAGUAAUUAAAUGAGAAAUAGGGAGGAGGGGACAUGGUUAUAUUUUGUCCCCUGCAGAGUAUAGCUCUCACAAGUGGAACCCUACAAGCAAAACAGAUAGGAAGAGGCUAGGGUAGUGGUUUAUGCAGCAGUGUCUAGUUUUGUACACAUUCCAGCAGUUCUGAACUUAGUGCACUGGGCUAUUGGAGAACAAUAAGGUCCACUUCAGAACUGUGGAAGAUCCCUAGAGGAUAGAUUCUGGGGUUUGGAUAGAAACCAUGUACGUGGACUAGCCAUCCAGCUCUGAGCAAUGGAUUCGGCCAUUACAGAAGGGCAUAUGAAGUGGGCCAAAGAGUGAAGAAUGCAUUUUCUUUGUUGGCUAUCACCCAAGUUAAGUAUAGCUCCACCCUUGUCCACAAAUACAAAAACAGAAAGAAAUAAGAUAGUGGUUUUAAAACAAUAAAAAUACUUCAGAAUUAUGCUACAACAGUAAAAUCCUAAUGAAAAUACAACUGCAUCUACAGUGUUUUGCAGACAGGUACCUAGCCAAGAAUUUUAUACCAGAUUAAGUAAGUCUUCACAUGAGAAGGCAACAAAAAGGCAUUUUUUAAAAAGCUAAAGUUGAAGAAAUAUACCCUUAUACAACUUCAUAAAAAAAUAUUUGAAUCAAAAGUAAGAGCCUAAGGAUGCCAUUUUAUUAAAUGAAUUAUGCAUCUUCCCUUACACAUUCCGAUCCUAGAUCACGAAAAUUUAGAUGGGAUGUGUGUUUGAUCAGUAAAUAGCGCAGCUCAGGGAAGCACCUUAAUCCCUAUAUGUAAUGCUUUUCUCAGAUGUUUUAUUUCUUCAUUUUUUGAUACCAUAUGUAUUUGUCUGCCUAGGAUGCCAUAACAAAUUAGUACAAACUGGGUGGCUUAAACACCAUGGUUCUGGAGGCUGCAAGUCUGAAAUCAAAGUGUCAGGAGGUUUGGUUCCUCUUAGGCCUCUCUCCUUGGCUUGCAGAUGGCCACUUUAUCACUGUGUCCUCACAGUGUUCUUUCCUAAGUGUGUUCACAUCCCAGAUAUCUCUUUCUCUUCUUAUGGGACACCAGAGAUACUGGAAUAGGACCCCACCCUAAAAACCUCAUUUAACUUUAAUAUCUCCAAAUGAAGUCACAUUCAGAGGUAUUAGGAGUUAGGUUACGGCUUCAACGUACGAAUUUUGGGGAGACACAGUUCAGCUCAUAACAUCUUAUUCAUUGGUAUAUCUGACGACUUCUUAAAACUCUACCAGAUGCUAUUCUUUUCUUGUUUUUUUUUAUUAUUUUUAUUUUUAUUUUUUUUUAUUUUUUGAGUACUUGAUCACAAUGGCCAACCUCUAAAUGUAAACGUGAUUGUGGCAUUCAGGGUAAACCCAGUGCACAUCUCAUAGACUUAGCUUCACUGUUAUAAAUCAACAGCAUAUGGAAUUAGCAGCAUUUUGAGGCUCAGAGGGCAUAGGGAUAUCCUAGUGCAGGAUUUAGCUAAGAAGGCCUUGUUUCUAAAACAGAGUGAAUGGAGCAAAGUGCAUGAGAAUGCAGUGGAGCAGGCUGGCCAUACACCUUUCAGGCUCACUCCCUAGGCUGAAUCUCAACCACAUUGAAAAACAGUUCUGGGAAUCCCCAAGUUUCAUAUACAUGUGAUAACAAGGCAAAAGUGAACAGACAUUUCUGUUGUACAGGCAGCAUAAAGUUGCUUAGACACAACAACUCCUUAUAUCUAAGGGAGCCAAAGUGAAAGGUGGACCAUGGCACAGUGGCUUUACCAAACCACCAGGGAAGAGCACCACUGCUCUUGGGUCCAGCCCUCUCCUUCAACCAGUCCUCCAGCUGGUCAAGAAACAUAGUUCAACAGUAGUUCAAGGAAUAGUGAGAGUGGAAAAAAGGAAACCCCACAUAUUUUUUGUGAGCACACAUCAAUCAUGGUUAGACCUUGCCUUAUCUAAGACUAAAUAGAGAAGAAAACAAAAUGUGGUGAUAUAUUAGGGUCCUCCAGAGAAAUAGAACUAAAUUAUUAGGAGAGUGUGUGUGUGUGUGUGUGUGUGUGUGUGUGUGUGUGAUUGAAUGAUUAAUUUUAAAUUGGUUCACAAGAUUGUGAAAGCUGAUAAGUCUGAAAUCUGCAGGGCGUGCCGGAAAUUCUUGCAAUAGUGGAUGUUGCAAUCUUGAGUCUGAAGGCAGUCUAGAGUCAGAUUUCUUCCUCUACUAGGGACCUUUGUCUUUUUCUCUUAAGGCCUUCAACUUAUUGGAUGAGGUUCACCCACGUUAUGGAGGGAAAUCUGUUAACUCAAAGUCUACUGAUUAAGUGAUUGAUUUGUUUAUUUGUUGGUUGGUUUUAAGAUAGGGUCUUACUCUGUCACCCAGGCUGGAGUGCAGUGGUACAAUCACUGCAGCCUCGACCUCUUGGGCUCAAGCACUCCACCCACUUCAGCCUCUCGAAUAGCUGGGACUAUAGGUGUGCACCACCAUGCCUGGCUAAUGUUGGUAUUUUUUGUAGAGAUGGGAUUUUGUCACAUCGCCCAGGCUGGUCUUGAACCCCUGAGCUCAAGUGGUCAGCCUGCCUCGGCCUCCCUAAGUGCUGGGAUUACAGACAUGGUGAGCCACUGUGCCUGGCUCUGCUUAAGUGUUAAUCACAUCUGCAAAAUGCCUUCACUGCACACCCAGUCUAAUAUUUGACCAAACCCUGGGCACCAUAGCCUAGCCAAGCUGACGCAUAAAACUAUCACAGGUGACUAUAAAAUGUUCUGAAAUUUAAGUUUUGAAAAAUACAGUUAUCACAAGGCAGAGUAGAACAAGAUGUUUAACAAAUCUCUCUAGAAAAGAUCAUUUUUAUAUCAUCAGUAGAAUUCAAAAAAUACGGGCUCUGAGACAAGAGAUAAGACAGACCAAGGAGCAGUUCAAACUCAGGAAUAAUUUUUAAAUAUGCGCAUGUCCUAAGAAAAGCUAUAAAUACAUAAGUAUGUUUGUUUUGUAUUAUAUAGUUGCAUUUGACUAUGGAAAUGGAAAUAUAUCCUUCCUCACAAAUAUAGUUUAUUGCUAAUUAUUGGUAAAUAUAUUUAUUUGAUAUUGCAAUAAUAGUAUUAUUAGACCCACUUAGGGCCAAUAAAAGCUCAUAGGUUGUCAAAACUGUUUUGUCACUUUGGUUGCAAGGGGCAGAAUUUGAUUCUUAAAAUAUUGGAAUUUUAUAUUCUUAUUAUAAAUUUGGGGGAAAUAAAAGAUAAGGAGUUGCCAUAAAUAUGUGAGGGCCCACAACAUCAGUGUAUUUCUUGUUGUUUAAAAUCUUUCUUUAGGCUAGGUGUAGUGGCUGAUGCCUGUAAUCCUAGCACGUUGGAAGGCAAGACGAGAAGAUCACUUGAGCCCAAGAGUUCGAGAACAGCCUGAGCAACAUAGCGAGACCCUGUCUCAGGGGAAAAAAAAAAAAAAGCCUUUCUUUAGUUAUUAUUUCAUUCAGAUAGCUAUGAAAGUAUUUUUGGUUUUUGCUUGCUUGUAGCUUUUCUGUUUUCUACCACACAAAAAAUCCAAUUUUAAUUUUGGGUUUGUGAAAUAUGUUUUAUCAAAAUAUAAGCCUGAUGUUUCUUAUCUUCCAAAAAAUUUAAAAAUAUUAGCUCAGAUGUAAUUUUGAUCAUAAAUGAUUAACAUGUAAACUUAAAUUGAAUGUAACCACUUCAUAUGGAUAUUUCAAGGUAAAAAAUGAAAUCUAAAAUAUCUGCACACUACUUUUAAAAUUUUGUCCAUAAAAAUGAGAAAUACCGAUUCCUUAUAUUCUCAAAUUUAUUUCAUCAUUUAUAUAUGUCAUAUAUGAAAAUGUGUUCUUUUUGAUAUUUACUUUAGAUAUCAAAAUAAUACAAAUUUUAAACCUGAAAUAAACCGUAGAUAUCCGUUGUCAGGAUUAUAUCUUAUAAGUCACAUCAUUCUAUUCAUCUUGUCUAAACUAAUAUUGUUAUAUAGUAUCACACAAGAAAAAAUCAAACUAUAAAUUAAAUGUCAAAUUUCUGUUUGUUUUUCAACAUACAGUUUUAAAUAGAUGUUAUUAUUCUCUUUCUGUAUAAAUACCCUGAGCAGAAAUUGUCAGCAUGCACGUAUCUUUUUUAUGGUGGAAUUUUUGACUAAUGAGUUUUUGUUAGAAAUGUAUCAGUUCUACUUCAUUUUAUAGUUGAGGUGUUCAUAUGAGUCAGUCUCAGUAAUUUUUGAGUGACUUUCUGUAGAAAGUUGUUCUCUAACUAGAAUGGAAGAUGCUGACACCUAGAUGUUCAAAUGGGGCUGAUGGAAAAAAAUCAGGACAAUUUUGUAUCUUAUAUGGGCAACAAAGCAUUAUAAAAGGACAUGAAGGAUGGUUUGUCAUAUCCAUUAGUUUUUGCCGUUUUAUCUAUUAGACUUGCAGUAGCAUAUGUAGAACACAGGUUGUGUAUGGUGGGAAUAAUUUUGUGGAGGAUAUUAUGAGUAUGAUAUUCACAUGCUAAAUGAAAGUCAAGUAUGCCAUAAAUUUAACUAAUGUCACUUAUGUUUUGUUCACAUAGUAGUGGUGUCAUCAGCGUAAUACAGGAAAGAUUUACAGUACAGCCCAACAUGACUGCUGUUCUCUAGUGUGGGCCCCGGUGGGGAAAGGGAGAAUCAGAGGAAGAGACUAUUACUGAUGGCACUAGUUUUCAUUUUUAAAACACACAGCCUGGGCUGGGCGCUGUGGCUUACGCCUAUAAGCCCAGCACUUUGGGAGGCCGAGGCGGGCGGAUCACGAGGUCAGGAGAUCAAGGCCAUCCUGGCUAAUGGUGAAACCCCAUCUCUACUAAAAAUACAAAAAAUUAGCCGGGCGAGGUGGCGGGUGCCUGUAGUCCCAGCUACUCAGGAGGCUGAGGCAGGAGAAUGGCAUGAACCCGGCAGGCGGAGUUUGCAGUGAGCCAAGAUCGCGCCACUGCACUCCAGCCUGGGUGACAGUGAGACUCCAUCUCAAAAAAUAAAAAUUAAAAUUAAAAAAUAAAACACACAGCCUGUAACUAUUUGACCUUUUGUCUUUUAUAGUAUUUUAGUGUGCUUUUAUUUCAUUUUAUUUCAUUUUACUGAGCAUUUUAUUUCAUAGCUUUAGGUACAAAUGUGGAAAUUUUAGGAGCAAAGCAGUUUGUAAUUAUUUGUCUCAAAAAAUUGAUUUGACCUUUAAAGACAUAGUUUUUGUGCAUCAAUGGGACUAAUUUGUUUAAAUAGUUUAUAAACAAACUAUUAACCAGUAUGAUAUUUUUCUUAAAGAGAUCAGAGCCAAGAACAAUAACAAAAAAGUGAUGACUCAUUUUUCAACUUUCAAUUUAUGUUACAAGACAUUAUCACAGCAUUCAUUGGCUCUAAUUUGACAUUAAAUAAACACAGUGAAAAAACAAUCUUUGAAAAGUUAUUCAUGCUUUCGUAUAAACAGAGAGAUGGUGGUUUGGAGAUACCCCUUUUAAAACUGAGCCUCGUUAAUUUAAAACAAGCACAAUGAUACAACUGUACUUGACUUGAAGGAGGGCAUAUUGUUCUGCAGGCGUCCUAAUUUUACUUCUGGUCAGAGGGACACUGGAAGAUUUUCAGCCAGAACUGCAGUGAGAGAUGAAUUUUUAUUAUAUGCUGAGAUGCUCAGAUGCCUGGAAACAGAAAAGAGCUAAUUUUACUGUUGAAAAGUAGUUAAUAGGCUACCUGUUUCCAAAUAUGCACCUGCCAUCCCCCACCACUACCAUCCCAAGUAGAUGCAGACUAGAGCAUUCAUAGUGGUCGUUCAUCCGAUGUGGCUCCGCAUAGAUUUUUAUUAAGUCAGGCAUGGUUUGUGUAGCCCUCCCCGCUCCUGGAACUGAUCACCCAUGUUUUUUGCUACCAGAGAAGUAGUUUUUCAAGCAACACACAGCUUGUAUGUGGAAGAUUUCCAAAGUCACAAUUGCUUCUUUAUCUUCCAGUGACUUUGAAAGAAAGCCAUGGCAUGAAUAGAAUGCUCAAAGCUCUGUCCCUGCACAAUCUGUAGUCCUUUAUUUCAGCUAUGCUUUUUACUGCUUCUUGGGAAUUGAUUUUUCUCUUCAAUGUACCACACCCCUUUCAAUUCUCUCUCCUUAAAAUGGAAAAGAGAAAGAAAAUGGUGCACAAGGUGUCUGAGAAGUAGAGCAAAAAGUAGACAUGUGUAAAUCCAUAAGGAUAUGAAAUGGAUGGAAAAUAUAAGACACAAGACAAACAAUACUCAUUCAUGCAACAAUAAAUUAUGUAAUUCUGGAGUGGAGGAGCUAGCCCAGAACUUUGCAACAUUCAGACCAAAUUUCUUAGACUAUAAUUCAGUUAUUCAAUUUUUUUUUAUAUCGGUACUUCCUUAUUCCUUAAUGUGUCUGUUUUCAGAGCCUUGGGUAUCUAAAUCAGAGGUGAAAUCUCUCCGUUUCUAUGCCAAAACCAUUCCAUUUUCUGGUCAAAUAGUCCCUGAGUGUUUAAUGUAAUUGCCAAAUGAAUUUUCAAAAUAUGCCUUGGAGAGUUACAAUAAAACAUUUUCAAGGCUCACAAGUCUUACGGUGAUCAGGAUUAGUUUGUUUAACCAGCAUUUCCUAAAUGAAACCCUUUCACUCGAUAAUGACUAUUUUUAUCUCACUACCUUGGAUUAAUGUGUAGAUAGUGGACUGUACAGAUUCAAAAGAUAAAGGAAAAAAAUUUUAGGACUUAGUAAGAGAGGAAUAUAGGGUUAGGUGAGCAAGGCUUCUAGAUUUCUAGCUCGUAACUCAGUGGGACCAUUCACUGAAUGAGACACUGGAGUAUUUUUUUAGGGCUUUCAUAUAUGCCCGGGCAACAAAGUAUGUCUCGUAUUCUUGAUUUGAAGAAAGGCAGGCUUUCUGUUCAUUGCAAGAGUUAUUAUUGAGAGCCUAUCCUUUGAGAAAAUAUAAUGUUUGCAGAAAUAGAUUUGAUAUUCUAGCUAUGUAAAGAAAUGAAACUUUAAAAUGUGAGAUAGAAAAAUUAUAACCAGAAUAAUUAGAACAAAUUACAUUCCACAUCAAGGCACCUUACUGUUUAGACUUAAGCAAUUAUUUAAUGUCUGCAGUAUUGUCAUCUGAAAACAUUCUAUGACUUAGAGAAAAUAUACCAUAUCAUAACUCUAACUGUAUUAUUCUAUCUUUUUGCCAAGCAAUACAAGCAGAGUAGUACAUUCAGAACUGGCAAGAUGAUUGUCUGAAUGUGACAUUAUCUGAUGACACUCAGAAAGCCUUUAAACAUAAAAGAUAUAGAGAAAUGCUUCAUUGCUUUCCUUGGAUGGCAUUUUUUCCUUUCAGCCUAAGCAAGAUUAAUGUUCUCAACUGACAUGAUGACACAUCUAGCUGUGAAAUGACAAUAAAGUAUAUACAAAAUGGGAGUAGGGACAUGCCUAAUAAAAUGCAAUACCUUAAUUUUUUUUCUAAAUACUAUUAGUUUGAGAUUGUUCUGAAGGUAAUGAUGUUCAACUUGUAAAUGUGUUGCAUAUGCCAUUAUGUUUAUACAUUCGUCUGUACACACUGUUUUUAUUAGGAGUGAUAUAUCACCUCACUUUUGCUUGACUCCUGUAUCUCAGAAAAGUGAUGGCAUUUCUUAUUCUCUUCAGUUCUAUUUAGCAGACAUUUACUGAGUAUUCUGUUGUUGUUGUUGAAGGUAGUGUGCAAUAUGUUUCUAAUAUGAAUGUAACAAAAAGAACCUGAGAAUAUCAAUGAAAUUUAGGUGAAUACUUAAUUCCUGGUGAUCAAAGCUAAUGGGUGUUCUAAUGAAAAAAAGUCUAGCACUAUCAUGGAAUAACAGCAGAAUCUGGAGCAAUAAGGCAAGAAAUAAUUUUAUUUUUCAGACAAGCCACAUUAUUAAUGAAAACAUGCACCACACAUGAAUAACAUUGGAAUAUUACCUCUUUCUUGAAUAGCAGUGAUGAGAUGGCCUACUCUGAGAGGUACUGAAAAAUCAGUUGAGGAGAUUAUUGAGCUUAAGUGUGUAAUAAUCAGAAUGAAAAGAAAUACAUGUAGUCAGAAUUACAAGCCAACUUAAACAGAUAAUUGAUAAGGCAAAUUGUAUAAUAUUCAAAGCAAGAAAGAAGACCUAGAAUACAUCAAGAUCUCUAUCUGUACAAAUCGUGGUUCACAUAAGCAGUAUGUGCAAUUAGUGGAAAUAUGUCCUGAUGAAAUCAAUAGGCCUGUUUAGGCCUUACUUUUCAAAAUGGGCACUAGUAACAUCUUUGAUAGAAAGAAUUCUUGUUGCAGUACAUUGAAGUAUUGGUUCAUGUCAUUUCUGUGCAGCACUCAUUUAUCAUCUGUUUCAAAUGAAUCUUUUUGGUACUUCAUAUUAGCUUGUGAACGUACAAAAGUAUCCUUCCUAUCAAGUAACUCUAGCAUUAGAAAAGAAUGACUGCCUCUUGAGAGUUGAGUGUAUAGCUUGAUUUAUUCAUCUGCAACAGAAAAAUUCCUUCAAAAGUUUUUACUGUAUCUUAAAAUUUUGUUGGAAUUCUGUAUUCUUUCUUCUGGCAUGUUAUUGUGAUUUCUACCUUAACUCUUUAGAAUCCAGAGGAGGUUCACCAGAGUUUUCUUGUGGUUUCUCCUUUUUCCUGUGAAUACACAAGUACUCUCUUUUGAGAAGCACAGUAUUGUGCAGAUUUUGCUCUCAAUGAAUUGGUCAUGAUGUGCCAAAAUGAUGUUCACUCAAAGUGUUCUGGGAAUCAAGGGAAGAGAAUUGACGGCUGUACCUGUGUCCAUUUGAAGGGCAAUUUGGAUAGGAGUGGUUUUGGUAAACCAAUGAGGAAAAAGAAGAGGGUCUUCCAAGCUGAAGCACAGUGCCUAUGCUUGUAUAAGCAGUGAGGCUGGGAGGGUGGGGUGAGAUUCUAAAGAAGAUGGAAAGAUGACUCGAGAUCACCUUGUCUGACUUGCUAUGCAAACUACAGAUUUUGAUCCUCAUGUAUUACAUGUAUUACUGAUUCUUUAACAUUGAAAGCUACUUUAAAAAAUGAAAUUAGUGUGAAAGUUCAAUAAAUACUUUAUAAAGAUAUAAUUAUCUUAAAACUUUAUAAAAUUUCCUUAUAAGCCAGUAAGUGAAAGAGUAUUUUGAUAAAAGCAAAAACUAAACUUCAUUGGUUUUAGAUGAUAGCAGCCAUCAUAUAUUGGCCUUAACUUCUCAUUAAUUUCUACAUUUUGUUUUGGUUUCAUGGUGUCUGGAAAAUCCUUAUUAGUAUAAAUAAUACACAUCAUUUUAAAAGGGUAUAUUAAUAGUUUAUUUUGAAAUCACAGGACAGUCUCUUAGUAAGCUGAUCCACAGGCUUGAAAGAGGAAUAAUUGGAAAUUAUUUUAAUGCUGAGUCAUUAAGAAAAUUUAACUGCUGCUUACCAUGCUUACCAGGCAAAGAGUUUAGUUUAGAUGGAGUACACCAAUCAUUAUUGAAAGAUAAUAUUUUGAAGUAAUCUCAGAUAUGUCAAUAUUCUGCUUAGUCAGACAUUGAGUUUGUAAAUAGCCAUUUUUCCUUUAGUUUGCAUGCUGCGUCUAAAAGGCAAGUUCUAGUUUCAUCAAAGACACUCUCCCUACAGGUAACAUUGUGACCUUGCAUCAAGAAAGUGAGCUUGUUCAGCUACAUAAAAUCCUAGGUCAUAAGCAGGACAAGACAUUGCAUCGCUGUUGUAAUUGUUUAGGUAUAAAGCUAAUACAGUGCAUAUAGGGUCUGUAUUGGGAAAACUAUAAAACACUGAUGAAAGAAAUAAAAACACAAUAAAUGAAGAAGAGAUAUUCUGUGUUCAUGGAAUAGAAGAUUCAAUAUUGUUAAGAUGUCAGUUCUUCCUAACUUGAUCUUAAGAUUCAACAAAAUCUCAAUCUAAGUCCCAGUGUCUAUUUUGUAGAUAAUCAAUAAACCAAUUCUAAAGUUUAUGUAGAAAGGCAAAAGACCUAUAAUAGCAAACAUAGUCGUACUGAAGAAGGAAAACAAAAAGUUGGAGUACUACAGUUAACCAAUUUCAGGAAUAACUGUUAAGCUACAGUAGUCAAGAUAAUGUGGUAUUGGAGAAAUACUAGACAUAUAGAUCAAUGAAAUAUAUCAGAAAACCCAGAAUAGACAUAUACAAAUAUAGUUUACUGCUCUGUAACAAAGACACAAAGAUGAUCCAAUGAAGAAAGUAGUGUCUUUUCAACACUGCAAAUUAGCAAAACAUCAUACCCCUCUAAACCUAUUAGAAUGACUAAUAUCCACCAAAAAAAAAAAAUGAAAGUACCAGUUGCUAACAUGGAUGUGACACAAACAGGAAUUUUCAUUUAUUGCUAGUGGCAAUGCAAGUUGGUACAGUUACUUUGACAUUUCAUACAAAAUUAAGCAUAGUCUUAAGAUACUAUCCAGCAAUCACAUUCUUACCUAAUUGAUUCAAAAUCUUAUUUCUGGGCUGAGUGCCAUGGGUCACCCCUAUAACCUCAGCACUUUGGGAGGCCAAGAUGGGAGCGUUGCUUGAGCCCAGAAGUUUGAGACCAGCUUGGGCAAUAUAAUGAGACACUGACUCUCCAGAUUUUUUUAUUUAAUUAUCCAAGUGUGGAGCUGCACACAUAUGGUUCCAGCUACCUGGGAGGCUGAGGUGGGAAGAUCGCUUGCACCCGGGCAGUUGAGGCUGCAGUGAGCCAUGAUCAUGCCACUGCACUCUAGCCUAGGCCACAGAGGGAGACUCCAUAUCAAGAAAAACAAAAACAAAAACACUUAUUUCUGCAGAAAAGCCUGCAUACAAAUAUGUAUAAGCAGCUUUAUAUAAAAUCACCAAAAACUGGAAGCAACCCAAAUGCCCUUUGGUAGGCAAACGAAUAAAGAAAUGGUGGUAUAUGCACACAGUGGAAUACUAUUCAAUAAUAAAAAGGAAUAAAAAGAAAUGAGCUGUUGCUUGUCUCACUCAUAAAUGAACAAUGAAAACACAUGGACACAGGGAGGGGAACAUCACACGCUGGGGCCUGUCAGAGAGUUGGGGGCAAGGGAGGGGAGAGCAUUAGGACAAAUACCUAAUGCAUGCGGGGCUUAAAACCUAGAUGACGGGUUGAUAGGUGCAGCCAACCACCAUGGUACAUGUAUACCUAUGUAACAAACCUGCAUGUUCUGCACAUGUAUCCCAGAACUUUAAAAAAAAAAAGCCUUAAAAUAGCAAAAAAAGAAAUUAGCUAUCACUUUAUACAUAAACAUGCUUGAGUCUUAAAUAUAUAUUGCUCAGUGAAAGGAGUCAGUCUGAAAACGCUAAAUAUUGUAUGAUUCAAAUAAUAUAACUAUUUUUUAAAACCCCAAAGGCGACUGGGCACAGUGGCUCAGGCCUGUAAUCCCAGCACUUUGGAAGGCCGAACUGGGUGGAUCAUGAGGUCAGGGGUUCGAGACCAGCCUGGCCAGCAUGGUGAAACCCUGUCUCUACUAAAAAUACAAAAAUUAGCCAGGUAUGGUGGUGCAUCCCUGUAAUCACAGCUACUCAGGAGGCCGAGGCAGAAGAAUUGCUUGAACCUGGGAGGCGGGGGUUGCAGUGAGCCAAGAUUGAGCUACUGCACUCCAGCCUAAGGGACACAGCAAGACUUCAUCGAAAAAAAAAAAAAAAAAAAAAAAAAAGAAAAGCCCAAAGGCAAGUGUAUUAGUCUGUUCUUGCAUUGCUAUAAAGAAACACUCAAGACUGGGUAAUUUAUAACAAAAGAAAGGUUUAAUUGGCUCCCAGUUCCACAGGCUGUACUGGAAGUAUAGUGGCUUCUGCUUUUGGGGAGGCCUCAGAAAGUUUCCAAUCAUGGCAGAAGGCAAAAGGGAGGCAGGUGUCUUACAUGGCAGGAGCAGGAGCAGGAUGGGGGAAGAUGCUGUACACUUUUAAACAACCAGAUCUCAUGAGAACUCACUAUCAUGAGGACAGUAUCACAGGGUAUGGUGCUAAACUAUUCCUGAGAAACCACCACCAUGAUCCAAUCCCCUCCCACCAGGUCCCACCUCCUACAUUGGGGAUUACCAUUUAACAUGAGAUUUGGGUGGGGACACAGAUUCAAGCUAUAUCACCAAGUCUGAAGAAUUACAUGACAUUUUUUAAAAGGCAAAACUAUAGAGACAAUGUAUGAGUUAGGAUUGUACAGAAAAUUUGAAACAAUAGAAUGUGUCUAUUUGUAGAAAGGGAUUAAUUAUAGAAAGCAGCUCAUGAAAUUAUGUCUGCUGGUAAAUCCAAAAUCUGCAGUUUAGCAGGUUUGAGAACAGGAGAGUCAAUGGUAGUUCUAGUUAGAAGGCUGGCAGCCUGGAGACUCAGGAGAGCUGAUGGUGCAGUUUCAGUUCAAAGGGCAGCAGGCUCAUGACUCAUGGAGGAGCCAGUGUUGCAAAUGAAUUUUUAAGGGCAAAUGUUGCAGAUAAAAUCUGAAGGCAGUCUGCUGGAGAAUUUCUUUUUUCCUCCCGGAGGCUGGUCUUUUUGUCUAUUCAGGUCUCCAGCUGAUUGGAUAAGGCCUACCCACAUUAUGGAGGGCAAAAUGAUUAAGCAUAUAUUAAAUGUUAAUAUCAUCCACAAACAACUUUUAAGUUGACAGAAAAAAAAAAUAAUAACCAUCCCAGAAGAUAAAGGGAUCAGUGGUUGCCUGAGGUUUGUGGAGGAGAAGAGGUUUGAAUAGGUGAGGCACUGAGAGUUUUUUAAGGGCCAUGAAACAAUGAUACUGUAAUUGUGGUGUAGUGGAUUGACUGAUGACCCCCCAAAAGGAUGUGUCCACAUCCUAAUUCCUAGAUAAUGUGAUUACAUUACAUGGCAGAAAUGUGAAUAUCACCUUAUGUAAUAUCUAAUGUGUUAAACAGAUAUGUUUAUAUGAUUAAGGACUAAGGACAGGUGUGAUUAAGAAUUAAUGAAUAGGGCCUCUCAUGGUGGCUCACGCCUGUAAUCCCAGCACUUUGGGAGGCCGUGGUGGGUGGGUCACCUGAGGUAGAUCAGGUGUUUGAGACCAGCCUGGUCAACAUGGCGAAACCCUGUCUCUACUAAAAAUACAAAAAUUAGCUUGUUGUGGUGGUGCAUGCCUGUAAUCCCAGCUACUGGGGAAGCUGACACAGGAGCAUUGCUUGAACCUGGGAGGCGGAGGUUGCAGUGAGCUGAGAUGUUGCCACUGAACUUCAGCCUGGGUGACAGACUGAGACUCUGUCUCAAGGAAAAAAAAAAAAAAACAAGUUUUAAUGAAGGGAUUAUUUGGAACUAUCUAGGUGGGCUCUAAAAGACUACUUCAGCCAGGUAGUGAAGGUCGGCAUCCACAGUGAUAAGUCAUGUUGUUAGUAUACGCUCUUGCUGUGGUAUGAUGUAAAUGGCACUUUACCUCUCUGGUUUCCCUCCCCAAAACUCAUAGACUCAGUUUAUAAUCAUGAAAAAAAAUUCAGACAAAUUCCAAUGGAGGGACAUUCUGCAGAAUACCUAAUGACUAUUUCGUAUUAAAACUGUUAAGGUCCUAUAAACAUGGGAAGUCUGGUAAACUCACAGAACUUAGAAGAUGAAGGAGAUAUGAUGUAAUUAAUUUUCUUGGUUGGGAACCUGGAACAGAAAGAGGACAUUAAGUAAAAACUAAGUAAAUCUAAAUAAGUCUGAAUAAAAUGAGUUUAGUUAGUAAUAAUGUACCAAUAUUGGUUCAUUAAUUUUGACAAACAUACCAUGUUAAUGUAAAAUGCUAGUAAGAGGAAAUGCUAUAUGGAUAUAUGGGAACUUUGUACUAUCUUUGGAAAUUUCCUGUAAAUGCAUAACUAUUCUAAAAAUUUAUUUUUACAAGAGCCUGUGUACAUGCAGGCCUGACCUUUAAAAGAAAAAAAAAGUACAAAUUUCCUCCUAAGUUGUGUAUUAGUUUCCUACAACUGUUUAUCAAAGAACCACAAACUGGGUGAAUUGAAACAACCUAAGCUUGUUCUAUCAAAGUUCUGGAGACCAGAAGCUCAAAAAUCAAUGUGUCUGCAGUGCCAUGCUCUCUCUGAAGUUUCUAGGGACAAUGCUCCCUUGCCUUUUUCAGCCUCUGGUGACUCCUGGCUUUCCUUAGCAUUUUUGGGCUUCCAGAUGCAUCACUCCAAUCUCUGCUUUCAUCUUCUCAUGUUCAUCUUUCCUAUGUUUCUGUUUUCUCCUUUUCAGAUUCUUAAAAGGAUAUUCAUCAUUGAAUUUAGGGCCCACCCAAAUCUAAUAUGAUCUUAAGAUCCUUAAUUACCUCUGCAAAGAGCCUUAUUCCAAAUAAAGUUCCAUUCUGAAGUUCCAGGUGUUGACAUCUGUUUCGGGACCCACUAUUCCACCCACUUACACCAUGCCAUAUCCAUAAAGUGUUCAACCAUCUGCAUGAACUGGGCAAAAGAAGCCUUCAGAAAAAUAAUCUACAGUACAAUUGAGUAUAUUAUUAGUCUGCCAAGUGUUAGAAUUUUCUUAAUGAUUAUAAUAAUAGGUAAUAAUUAUUGAACUCUUACUGUAUGGUAUUCACUGAUAAGCAUGCUCUACAUAUAUUCUCUUUUAAUUUUCAUACUGCGGUUAUCCUUCAUUUGUAGGUGAUAAAACCAAAGCACUGAGUAGUGAAGAAACUUGCCUAAAGUCAUACAGCUGGUAAAUUUCCUCCCAGUGUUAACAGCAUUUAUUGCUAUUAAAACUGCUAAUAAAAUGUGUAUCAAACAUUUGCAGAAAUUCUGAAUCCUUCUAUGGAACCUGAGGAUUCUACUUUAAGGUUUAAAGUCAUGAGAGAGAGAGGUUUACAUUGAAAGAGUUUUCAGCUCCUUGGUAAGAAGUUUUAUCAGUCUCUUUUGCUGAGGGGUUCUUGUGAUAGAACUCAAUAGUGCUUUUUCAAUUUAUAGGAUUUCAGGUAAGAUUCCACCUCCGUUAUCCAGCUAUCUUCUAAUAUACUCUUAUCUUCUCUAUUAAAUGUUUCUCUCUGAAAAUGAUUUACCUUCUUAUUCAGGCUUCCUCCUCAGUAGAAUAACCCCAAACUCCUCCCCACCCCUAUACAUGCACACAUGUGCUAUUUUAUCCAUUUAACUUGUGUCUUCCCCCAAAGACUUAAAAAUUCCUUCUUAAUAAUGUAAAAACUUAUAAACUCUGCUACAAGCAUACGUAACAUUUCUCGAGGCUAUUAAAAAUAUCUAGAUGUCAGGUAAGUGUAUAUGAUGAAGUAAGUGAUUCAAAUAGAACAAUUAACAGAUGGCAGCAACAAUUAUAUAUUCAUAUUCCUGGCCAACAGCAUUUGGUAGAUAUAAUUACCUUACAGGUGUUAACUGCCCUUUAUGGAAUGAGACAUCUCUGAACACUAGAGAAACAUGGUUAACGAUGGUCACAAAUCAGUAAAAAUUCUAUAUUGACUCAUUUUUUU